UGAGGAUGCAGUUGGCCGCGCUACACCACUCCGCGGACGCGUCCCGGCGCCCCGUGCAUCCUCGACGAGCCGGGUGUUGGGGUGUGUUUGGAUUGUGGCCAAAGUGCACCUUACCAAAAUUUUGGUCAUGACCCAAAGAUUGGUAUUUGUUUGGAUGGUUGCCAUUUUUUUUUGAGGUUUUGGUCAUGACCCAAAAAUGGAUGGUUGCCAUUUUUUUGGCAUGCCAAUGAACUCUAGCCAAAUCUAGUUCAUUUUUCUUGCCGAUGUCGGCCAAAUCAUGGGCAACCAAAACCUCAACCAAAAUUUUGGCUACCCAAUGCUUUGAUGGGGCAACCUUGGGCACAAACCAAACAUACUAGUUGUUGGUCGUGCCACGGCACUAACGCCACCCUCGGCACACUGAAAUCGACCGUGUCUAGCGACGAUGAGCGUGUCGCUCACCACGGUCGCUGUCGGUGUCAAACCCAGCGGAUCUCGGGUAGGGGGUCCCGAACUGUGCGUCUAAGGCGGAUGGUAGCAGGAGGCGGGGGACACGAUGUUUACCCAGGUUCGGGCCCUCUCGAUGGAGGUAAUACCCUACUUCCUGCAUGAUUGAUCUUGAUGAUAUGAGUAUUACAAGAGUUGAUCUACCACGAGAUCGUAGAUGCUAAACCCUAGAAGCUAGCCUAUGGUAUGAUUGUUGUUGUCCUACGGACUAAACCCUCAGGUUUAUAUAGACACCAGAGGGGGCUAGGGUUACACAGAGUUGGUUACAAGGGAGGAGAUCUACAUAUCCGUAUUGCCAAGAUUGCCUUCCACGCCAAGGAGAGUCCCACCCGGACACGGGACGAAGUCUUCAAUCUUGUAUCUUCAUAGUCCAACAGUCCGGCCAAAGGAUAUAGUCCGGCUAUCCGAGGACCCCCUAAUCCAGGACUCCCUCAGUAGCCCCUGAACCAGGCUUCAAUGACGACGUGUCCGGCGCGCAGAUUGUCUUCGGCAUUGCAAGGCGGGUUCCACCUCCGAAUAUUCCAUAGAAGAUUUUGAACACAAGGAUAGUGUCCGGCUCUGCAAAACAAAUUCCACAUACCACCGUAGAGAUAAUAAUAUUUCCACAAAUCUAAUCUGCUGACAGCUUUUCAUAACGUGACGUUCUGCCGUGGCCUGGUCAUGACGAACCGUUUUUCGAGCCUGCCACUGUACGUGUUGCGAGGCAGUUUUAUUGGCACGUCCUGUCGAAGCAGAGAUCGUGUCCCUCUUUUCACGGGAUUCUCAUCAAUACGGGUGCGGGUAACCCAACCGCGCCAUCAAUUACAAUGCUUGGGGGAUAAGCGGUUUUACCGGGCAAGUGGGGAGGCGCAGAAUACCUGCUGCCUUUAUAAGGGGAUAAGAACGCCCGUUCGCACCCACUCUUUCUUCCUGAUCCAUCCCCCUCCGCCCGAGCUCCAGCGCCCAAGCGUUCAUCUUUUCUGCCCACAAAGGCUUUCCGAAAAUGUCCGGAUCGGGAGCAGGAGGCAAAUGGAUGGCCUCUACCGUCCGGGAGAAGGAUAUCAAAAAGCUUCGGGAGGCCGGGUAUCUGGCCAAGAAAAUCAGCCACCAUCUCCCGACGGCGGGACAGAUCGUCCCUACUCCGGAACCCCACGAGAGGGUUGUAUUCCUCCCUCACUUUGUCCGCGGGCUAGGGUUUCCCCUCCACCCAUUCGUUCGCGGCAUCAUGUAUUACUAUGGGAUCGAUCUUCACGAUCUGUCCCCUAAUUACUUCCUCAACAUCUCGACAUUCAUUGUCGUGUGCGAGGCUUUUCUCCGCAUCUCGCCACACUUCGGCUUAUGGCUGAAGAUCUUUAAUGUGAAGCCCAAGGUAGUGGGCGGCGAGCACGCCGAGUGCGGGGGCGCUAUGGUGAGCAAGAUGCCCAAUGUCAUAUGGCCAACAGGCACCUUUAACGAUUUUGUCAAGGAGUGGCAACAGCAGUGGUUUUACAUCACUGAGCCGCGUGGCACGGAAUGGGCCGCUACUCCCGAGUUUCGAUCCGGUGCCCCCCUGCAGCUUACAUCCUGGGUCAAGAAGGGCCUAAACUGGUCCUCGUCCGACGAACUGUCGGUGCUCCAGACGCGCGUUAAAGAUAUGGGAGACAAGAACAUUGAACUUGUCAAUGUAGUCCAGGUGAUGUUAGUUCGCCGGAUCCUGCCUUGUCAACACCGGACUUGCAAUCUAUGGGAAUUCGAUCCGGCCAGGCACCAAACCUUACGAGAGCUUUUUGGCUCCUCGCACAAGGACAUCUAAAAGGUGCUUUUCAAGUCCAGCAAAUCAUGGCCGGACUCCGCCGAGGACCGCGGGUACCAACUGUCCCGCCCUGCAAGUUCGGUAAGUCAUCAUACUUUUUAUCCGCAUAACCCAAAGGAAGCGCUUAACGUGUUUUCUACAACUCUCCCAGGGCUGGACGAAGAAGGCGGAGCAGAUCCAUUGUCCGGCCCCGCUGCCCGAAGAACCGGCGGCCCCCUUCUGACGAAGAUGCUGGUCCCGGUGCCUUACAAGGUGCCGAAGAAGACGACCGAGAGGGAGGCCAAAAAGACCCGGGGCGGUCUUUGUUGCUGCGCCACUUCGGACACAAUAUCCAAAGGCUCUGAUGCCCGUUCCGCCUCCGAAGAGGACGAGGAGGAGGAGGAAGAUGAGUCCCCUACGGGAGGAAGAAAGAACAGGACAUCCUCCGUACACUUGGAGGCCGAGCCGCCCAAAAGGGGAAAGGCUCCUCUUCCGGAGGAGUCCACUGCCGCCGCCGACAGCGGCCCGGCGUGGGAUCCCAGGGCCUAGCCCCUGGCGAACUCGUGAGUAUAUAAAAUCUGAGUACGUUUAUGCGUCCAGACUCAUCAUGGCAUAGUAUUUCAACCUGAGCCAUAUUUUUUGUAGUCCGGCGAGGUCCCGUACCAAACAAUCCUCAUCAGAGGAUUCGCUGAGCUCAGAUGCUAUGGAGAGCGGGACGCCCCCAAGGGCCCCUUCCUCCAAACAGGUGAAUAACACCGAGGCUUCGUCCUAGAAGGACCCUGGACAAGGAGGAGAGGAAAAGACCGUGAAGGCGGUGCCUGGAGGUCAAACUUCAGGGGCCGGACUCAUGGGGGAGAAAAUUCCCAUGGGAGCUGACGGCGGGGGCCAUCUGGAAUUCGGCUCCCAGCCGGAUACAGUUCCGGAGACCAAUGCGGCUCCAGAAUCAGGCAUGCAACCUCUCUAAGCUGGAGGGGGCGUGCCUGUUCCACCGGCAACCUCUGUCCAACCAGAGGUGUCGGAUGCUUUGUUGGUGGCGCUGAAGAGCGCCUCCAUCGUCAAUGAACACCGUGUCCUUAUGGGUGCGGUGAUUGAGAAGAUUCAGUCUGCUGAGAGUGCACUGAAUGGAGCCUGUAUCAGCCUUAUAAAAGGUUUUGAGGUACGUUUUAUGAGGUUUCGAAGAGUGUCAUGGUGUGGAUAGUAGCCCCUGAUACACUGUUCGGUGAAAGAAAGAACCAGACAGAGGAUCAAAUUCAUGUUCGCAGGAAGACUCAUUGAAUGACACCUAUUUCUCUUCUGUUAUAUGCAGGCGUCUGUAGCGGCUAUUGCCUCUCAUACUACGGACAUCUCUGGACUGAAUCAAAGUCUGGAGCGGGCCAAAGAAGAACUUGGCCAAUUGAAAAUGCAGUUGGGAGAUAAACAAGGUAUGCACAAGUCUUGUUCACGUCUAUUGCGAAUGAAUUUUCAGUAUAAUGAAAUAAGCUUCAUGAUUUGCGCUAGGGAUGGUGACCGAAGUCGAGGCUCUUAAAAAGGCUGUGGCCGAGGCCGAGAAAAAGGCAGCCAUAGAGCAGGCUCUUCGCGAGAAGCACGAGGCCAGGGUUAUUAAAGCUGAGCAGGAGCUGCAAGAGGCCGUGAGGAAAUGCUAGACCUUGGAGCAGAGUUUAACGGAGAAAUAAUCCGAACUAACCAAGGCGCAUCAGGCCACGAGCGAUGCCCGUGGGGAAACCCAAAGCGCCCUGCAGGGGCUCCAAGAGGCGAGAAAGAUCGCGACGGGUAAGGCUUUUUCCAUGUGAAGCAAGUACUUGAGGGGAAAAUUAUGUUUCUAAUUUUGAAUUCGGAUUUCUCAGGGGUAUUUGCCGAGCUGCCCCGCAGCAUAUCAGAUGCCGCUCAAUUCUACCGAGCCGAAGAAAAGAACACUGCGGAUAAGCUCUUCUGGUUGCAGUAUUUGGCACCGAAUUAUCCGGUGCCCUUUGUCGAUCAACUGAAACAGCUGAUCGAACUGCAUAAGGCGGCGGAACUGGCCAUGAAGGAUAUGAUUAUCCGGCUAUGGCCCGCCGAGCCGAUUCCAAGCAGCUACUUCGGGCUCGUGAAGCGGCUUGUGAGUGCCUGCCCUCGACUUGAUGUCAUCAAGCGGUCGGUCUAUAUAGAAGGUGCGCGAAUGGCCUUCGCCCGUGCAAAGGUGCACUAGGGGAAGAUGGAUGCUGAAAAGCUGAUGACCGAAGGACCGCCGGAGGGGAAGGAGCACAGCAAGCCCAAAUUAUAUUAUGAGAGUGUCCGGAAAGGAUCCUACCUUGCAGCGGAGCUAUGUACCAAGGACAUUAUAUUUCCAUGAAUGCAAAUCAUGUUGUCCUUUGUAAUGUUUGAACAAGGUCAUUUAUAUUAUUUAUUGCUUGUUAUAUAAAAGUUUAUCCUCCUGCGCGGCCGUUUUAUAUAUUGAUCCUGAGAGUUGGCCAGUCGUCGGCUUCUGCCCCCAUGUAAGAAGUACGGGGGUGUUCGGGAUAAACCUGAUCACUCUUUAUCCCAGUUUUGGGUCCUUCGAAGGAGGUGUUCAGCACAACGAACCAGGCAAUCGGACUAUAAGGCUUUAUCACUCUCACUUAGCCAUAGGAGCUUUAGGAAGGUAGGCGCAGCCCUUGGUGUUCGGAAGACCGCACGGGGGGCUCUGUAAGAACCUGAUCGGAAGAAAAACCGAUCCAUCGCACGCUGCAUUGGUUAUGGCAUUAUGCGGGAGAAAUCCUUAAAGAUUUUGUAACCUCUCGAACAGCUGGCCAGCUCUCGCCGUAUCAUGACAGUCAGUUUUCGGCUUUCUCUACUGAGGUGCUCGUCCGGAAGAACCGGGACACAAUCGCAGUAGUUCUCCCAGUGCUACCUUAGCCGAUAUAGUGGAACGUAAGGUACCAAAACAUGGGAGCCGGGCAAACCCAACUAUUGACCCAAGACAUGAUUCGAAGCUGAUGCAUAUAAUGCUAUAGGUUCGGGGUGCCGAACUUCCAUGAAGGCAUUCGGACUUUAUUGUCGUGUUAUGGGUAAAAUGAAGCCCCUGGCAUAUUUUAAGGCAUAUCGCUGUGUACGGAUGCCACUUGACAAAAGAAUUUCGAUAAGAAAUAACAGCACGUAAGCAUCAUAUAAAUCCACAUGUUGUAUUUGAAUAGUACGUCUAUGCGUAUGAGUAGAGGUAGUGUGAUAAAAAAAGGAAUAUGACUACGGAACCUGCUGAGACCAGGGGGAAGAAGCUGAGUGCGGAUCUGAAGUAUAGCCGGAUGGUCAUUGCGGGGAAUGUUUAAGGAUUCCCUUUCGUGUUCAAGCUACCUCCGUAUCGCCCGUCCUGGUCGGCGCAGAGGUGAGCCUGCGAAGGAAAUGUAAAAAAUGUUUGCGUGCCAGAGAGCGGUUGAGCCGCCGAGUGCGGGCCUGUCCUGGCCUUCACCUGAGCGUUUAAUCGAGCUCUGGAUGAGUCAGGCUAUCCUUCAGCGAAGUAGUUCGGAGUCCCUUGACGGUGUCCAGGAGCCUGGACGUCGACUCGAGGUUCGUCUGCAAGGUGCUGCUCGUUGCCUCUGCUGUUAAGUCGGUGGUGUGCUUGUUGGUGCCGAGGGAAGGUUCGGCCUUGCCAUUAACCAUGAUGACGCCGCGUGGACCGGGCAUCUUGAGAUUACGGUAGGCAUAAUGUGGCACCGCGUUGAAUCGAGCGAACGCGGUUCGUCCGAGCAGUGCCUGAUAAUCACUGCGGAAAGGGACGAUUUCAAAGAUUAACUCUUCGGUAUGGUAAUUUUCUGGUGAUCCGAAGACUACCUCAAGGGCAAUGGAGCCUGUACAGCUGGCUUCCACACCUGGUAUAAUGCCUCUGAAAGUGGCUUUAGUGGGUUUGAUCGCCGAAUGAUCGAUGCCCAUCUUGCGCACUGUGUCCUGGUAAAGCAGAUUUAGACUGCUGCCUCCGUCCAUAAGGACUCGUGUGAGGUGGAACCCAUCAAUUAUUGGGUCGAGGACUAGUGCGGCUGGAUUGCCCUGAUUGGCGUUAACCGGACGAUCCGUGCGGUUGAAGGUGACCGGCCCUAGUUUAUAUUGUGGGGCGACUAGUUCCGUUAAUUCGGCAUCCCUAAGGGUGCGUAUCCGGUCCGAGUUGGGAAUUUGGGUGGUGUUUACCACAUUCACCGAUUGAAUAUGCGGGGGAAAUUUCUUUUGCCCUCCUGUGUUCGGUGAUCUGGGCUCUUCGUCGCCAUCAUCGCUUUGAGACCCCCCUUCUCCGUUUUUGGCGCCUGCCCUGCCGGCUUGUUUAAAGACCCAGCAUUCUCUGUUGGUAUGGGUGGCUGGCGUUCCUGGGGUGCCAUAAAUUUGGCAUUGGCGAUCGAGCAUGCGGUCCAGACUGGAUGGACCCGAAUUGUUAUUUUUGAGUGGCCCUUUCCGUUGACCGGACUUUGAGCCCCUAAACUCGGCAUUAACUGCCGUCUCUUCGGCAUUUUCACCAUAUUUGUGGCGCUUGUGUUUGUUGCGUUGUGGUUUGCCGUUGCUAUCCCUGGCCUCUGAUGUCCCAGGUUUGCUUGCUGUAUUGUUACUACGAGCCAACCAGCUAUCUUCACCCGCGCAAAAGCGGGUCAUAAGUGUCGUGAGGGCUGCCAUGGAUUUUGGCUUCUCUUGGCCGAGGUGCCGGGCGAGCCAUUCAUCACGGAUGUUAUGCUUAAAUGCCGCUAAGGCCUCUGCAUCCGGACAAUCGACAAUUUGGUUCUUCUUAGUUAGGAACCGGGUCCAGAAUUUCCUGGCCGAUUCCCCUGGCUGCUGAGUUAUAUGACUUAAAUCGUCAGCAUCUGGCGGUCGCACAUAAGUGCCCUGGAAAUUGUCCAGGAAUGCAUCUGCCAGGCUCUCCCAACUUCCGAUGGAAUUUGCCGGCAAGCUAUUGAGCCAAUGCCGAGCCGACCCUUUGAGUUUUAGAGGGAGAUACUUGAUGGCAUGUAAAUCAUCCCCGUGGGCCAUGUGAAUGUGGAGGAAGAAGUCUUCUAUCCAUACCGCGGGGUCUGUAGUACCAUCAUAUGAUUCAAUGUUUACGGGUUAAACCCCUUCUGGGAAUUCAUGAUCCAUUACUUCAUCGGUGAAGCAUAGGGGUGUGCGGCGCCUCUGUGCCGGGCUAUAUCAUGACGCAGUUCAUACGGGUCUUGUCUGCUGUAUUCGGUCCGGGCGGAUUUGCUUUUAGUAUAUCCGGCGUGACGGUCAUCGUCCCGCGUUGGGGCGCGCCCCCGUGAUCCGUAGAUCGAUCUUGCAUGUCCUGCUUUGUUUUCCAAUGCGUCUCGCAGGUCCCGCGUGUUGCCCCAGGCCUUGGUAUUUUUGUUUGAAUGGCGGCGGGGUGCGGGCUGGACUUCGGGCUAGUAUGCCCCUCUGUCUUGGACAGGAGGUGGCCGAUCAGCCGCAUCAUACGUUGGUGAUGUAGGUUUCAAUGCUUCCUCCUCGAGUUGGGGUAGCAACCUGCGCUUUGGGUAACUCUUGGUUGGGCGCUCGAGUUCGUAUUCCUUGGCCGCCAGGACUUCAGUCCAUCUAUCCGCUAGCAGAUCUUGAUCAGCUCGAAGCUGUUGUUGCUUUUUCUUCAGGCUGUUUGCUGUGGCUAUAAGCCGGCGCUUGAAGCACUCCUGCUCGACGGGAUCCUCAGGCACGAUAAAUUCUUUGUCGCUGAGGCUCACUUCAUCUUCGGAGAGAGGCAUGUAAUUCUCAUCCUCUGAUUCGCCGUCUGCUGCCUGUUCUGGAGGGCUAGCUUGUUCAUCCUCCCGCUCGAGGUCUGGCUGGAGGGGAUUGUCGUCGUCUUCGGCACUAUCCGGAGCGUUAUUGUCUCUUGUGCCGGCAUCGCUGCUUUUGCUAUGGCGGGACUUAGAGCGGCGUCGCUGACGUCGGUGCUUGGAUUGCUUCUUGGAGGGAUUAUCCUCCGUUGUCUUAUCACCAUCGCCUUCUUUGGGGGUGUCCACCAUGUCUAUAUCAUAUGAUGAUGUGGUAGUCCAGCGCCCUGUGGGUGGUGGUUCCUGUUCGUCUCCUGCAUCGUCGUCCAUACCGUCGAUGUCUUCAGAGUCGAAAUCGAGCAUGUCGAUUAAAUCGUCGACAGUGGCUACUAAGUGGGUGGUGGGUGGGGAGCGAAUUUCUUCGUCCGCAUCUCAUUCUUGCCGAACAUAGUUCGGCCAAGGUUCUCCUGACAAGGAGAGAGACCUUAAUGAAUUUAGCACAUUGCCAAAAGGUGAGUGCUGAAAGAUAUCCGCGGAGGUAAACUCCAUGAUCGGCACCCAAUCAGAUUCGAUAGGCAUGGACGCAGGCAGUUCGGGGCCUGUGGCCGGGGAUGAAUCCGAGGAUUCGGCGACACAUGUCUCAUAGGGGGUGAAGUCGGUAUUCGGCUCUAUCGCCAUUGAGUGUGUGGCCUCCGAGGCAGGGUCCAUCCACCCGUCCUCGGACGGCGUAAUCGACUUCGGAUCUAGGGCCGGAGUAGGCAUAGGUGUGAUCUCCCGAACACCGUCCGGUGGUAGAGCUAAGUCGUGCUCGUCGUGACUGUGCGGUGCACCUGACAUGUGCUCGAAUCCGUCGAAGAUCAAGUCUCCGCGGAUGUCGGCAGUAUAGUUCAAGUUUCCAAACCUGGCCUGAUGACCAGGGGCGUAGUUCUCGAUCUGCUCCAGAUGGCCAAGCGAGUUGGCCCGCAGUGCGAAGCCGCCAAACACGAGGAUCUGUCCGGGGAGGAAAACCUCACCCUGGAUCGCAUCGUUGCCGAUGAUCGAAGGGGCCAUCAAACCUUGUGGUGACGGCACAGUGGAACUCUCAAUGAAAGCACCAAUGUCGGUGUCAAAACCGGCGGAUCUCGGGUAGGGAGUCCCGAACUGUGCGUCUAAGGCGGAUGGUAACAGGAGGCGGGGGACACGAUGUUUACCCAGGUUCGGGCCCUCUCGAGGGAGGUAAUACCCUACUUCCUGCUUGAUUGAUCUUGAUGAUAUGAGUAUUACAAGAGUUGAUCUACCACGAGAUCGUAGAGGCUAAAUCCUAGAAGCUAGCCUAUGGUAUGAUUGUUGUUGUCCUACGGACUAAACCCUCCGGUUUAUAUAGAGAAAGGAGGGGGCUAGGGUUACACAGAGUCGGUUACAAGGGAGGAGAUCUACAUAUCCGUAUUGCCAAGCUUUCCUUCCACGCCAAGGAGAGUCCCACCCGGACACGGGACAAAGUCUUCAAUCUUGUAUCUUCAUAGUCCAACAGUCUGGCCAAAGGAUAUAGUCCGACUGUCCGAGGACCCCCUAAUCCAGGACUCCCUUAGUCACCGUGUUAAGAGGCGGUGUUGGAGCUGCGCCACGUUGUUGGCCCCCAUGACCCACAUGAACGGUUGCCGGUGGCGAGGAGGUCGUGGGCCAGCUCCUCCAUUGGACUAGUUUGCGCUACGUCGUCCCGACAGGUGUGCCCCACAUGUCGGUUUGCCUGUUUUCCCGGCCAUAUUCGAGCAUCAGUGCUCCGCGUUGCGCAUUAGGCCUGUCACUAUGUAGGCCAAGCGAGACAACUUAUUGUUUAUUCGAGCCGGUCAAGUAUAAUCAUGUGGCAUUUUCUUAUUUCUCAUUCAUCUCCAACCCUCUUCUCCAUCGAUCAUGUCGCCCUCCGGUCGAGUCCAUCCACCAUUCUGCUGAGUAUCAUUCGCAUGUGGGCCUACACCAUGCUUGUAUUUCCAAUGUUUAUUUGUAAUUUGUCCGACAUGGAUACAAACAAAUGGUUCGUUUGAAGUUUCACUUUGCCUCCACUACGUGUCGCUUCGCGUCUUAGUUUUGGCAUCCCAUUCGGUUCAUGCAUGCCCCGACACAUGUUGACGAGAUCGAUUGAUGUUCAGAGAUCAAUUGCGUGUCGUGCAAGGAGAUAAAGGUUUNNNNNNNNNNNNNNNNNNNNNNNNNNNNNNNNNNNNNNNNNNNNNNNNNNNNNNNNNNNNNNNNNNNNNNNNNNNNNNNNNNNNNNNNNNNNNNNNNNNNNNNNNNNNNNNNNNNNNNNNNNNNNNNNNNNNNNNNNNNNNNNNNNNNNNNNNNNNNNNNNNNNNNNNNNNNNNNNNNNNNNNNNNNNNNNNNNNNNNNNNNNNNNNNNNNNNNNNNNNNNNNNNNNNNNNNNNNNNNNNNNNNNNNNNNNNNNNNNNNNNNNNNNNNNNNNNNNNNNNNNNNNNNNNNNNNNNNNNNNNNNNNNNNNNNNNNNNNNNNNNNNNNNNNNNNNNNNNNNNNNNNNNNNNNNNNNNNNNNAGAGGGAGUAUAUUGUACGUUCAUAAGCGGAACGAACGUAUUGUACCCACCCUAGUCCUCUUUCAAUCGAUCUCCGGACCCCAAGAUGAAAUCGAGAGAGAACGAGUGGAGGCAUGUGUGAUACCUAAGGCGGAUUCAAAAUUUUGAACCGGUGAUCAUAGCAUCCGCAAAUCAUAUAUAAAGGGUAUUCAAUGUUUGUUUCAUUUUUGAACGUACAAUAUACUCCCUCCUAUCCUUUCUAGUUUACAUAUAAGUUUUAUGUGUAGUCAAAGUAUCUCUACUUUGAUAAAAAAAGUAUCAACAUUCAACAACGCCCAAUCAAUAUUGUUAGAUUCGUACAUACUCCUAGAUUUGUACUCAAGAUGGUUUCCAAUUUGUUUUCAACCACGUGAAUGUGCUUGUUCUCGCGCAUGCUCUUCCUACUAGGAUUUCACCACGUAUAGCCAGUCCAAUAGUAACUUUUUUAAGCACCCUGUCCAAUAGUACUAGUGGAGUACUGACAACAUCUGUACUAGAGUAUGCAGUGCUCAUAGUUGUACUCCCUCCUUCCAUUUAUAUAGGGCCUAUGUGGAGGAGAGAGAUGUGAAAAAGUAAGGGGAGUGAGCUCUCAUGCAAGAGCCUAGCUAUAUACGCAUUCCUAGUUAAAUACGUACAAUAAAUAUGAAGAAAGAGAUGGAGAGGAGAUGGAAAAAAGUACUAAUACAAUAGCCAACCUUAUAAUUUUUUUUGCGGGAAAUAGCCAACCUUAUAGCCCACACUACUGUAUAAGUGCAUAUAAUAGAUGAUGGCUAUAGAUGACAUGGCAGUUCCUUAUAGCCAUCGACUGGCUAUAUUAUUAAUCAUUGCGUUUUUCAAAACCGCAUUUGACUAUUGACAAGAUUAAUAGUACAUGAGAUGUAUAAUGUGAAAAUUAUAUCAUUGGAAGCUCCUUUCACAUACGUAUCCCUGUCUUACCCUCCCUUUCGAUCACUUACUGGCGGACCCCAUGCUUGCUAGGCCCCGCAUGUCAGUUACUCAAUGGGUUCGGCCACGUCAGGGGAUCCUCAUCCGUAGUAUACUCCCUCUGUUUUUAUUUACUCCGCAUAAAAUGACGCGGGCGGAGGAGGGGGAGGGACGUCGGUUUGCAACUGCGGUCCCACAAGCGAGCGAAAACGCAAGACGAAGCGUGUUCCAUUCGGUGAGUGACGUGGAGGGUCCAGCGUGCCGGGCUGCAACACGAAGGCGACAAGAGCGAUGUAUAGUCAAAACCGACUGACCGGUCGUCACCGGAACCACUAUUCACACCAGAACAUUCGUUGCUCGGCCUACGCCAGCCACUGCCCUAAAACCACACCUAAUCUCCAGCCCCUUCCCCCACCUUUCGAUCCCCUAGCCCGCAUCAAGCGUCCCCUAGUUCACCGGAAAGCCAUGGUGCGCCGCAAGAUCACGUACUACAAGAUGCUGACACCGAAGCGCUGCGCAGAAAUCACGGUGGCGGUCGGUGCCAGAGACCUCCGUUCCCAAGCUCGCUUUGCGGCGGGCCAAUCCCCGAGUUCUCUGGAGCCAAGGUACGAGGAGGAGGAAGCCGAUCCAAUGUUCAUGGCGGAGGUCGCGGCGCAGAAGGCCCCCGAUGGGUAUGAGACGAUGGACGUCGACUUCGUGCCGGUGUUCGAGUCCCCCAUGGUGCACGCGGACCAGCGGUUCAACCUGGCGAUACUGAACGAGGACCAGGAGGCAGAGGCUCAACUUGAUGCAGAGCGCGCGCAUGCCGCUGCCAUCGAGGCUCUCCUGCAGGCGGAACCGGAUGUCGUGGAUGUGAACCGGGCGGCGGAGGCUCAACUUGAGGCGGAGCGCGCGGAUGCCGCUGCCAUCGAGGCCCUCCUGCAGGCGGAACCGGACGUCCUGGACUUGAACCGGGCAGCAGAGGCUCAACUCGACGCGGAGUGCGCGGAUGCCGCUCUCACCGAGGCCCUCCUGCAGGCGGAACCGGAUGUCCUGGACUUGAACCGGGCGGCGGAGGCUCGACUCGACGCGGAGCGCGAGGAUGCCGCUGCCAUCGAGGCCCUCCUGCAGGCGGAACCGGACGUCCUCGACUUGAACCAGGCGGUGCUCUCGUCCGUGCAGAGCACCCGCACGCUCUGCGUGAACGAGUAGCUGGAGGCCGAGGACAACCACGGUGCGGAAACACACGUCGGCAGCUACGGCUGGUUCGCACCGGCAGCUAAAGACGACGAGGCCGUAUCGUUUCGCGAGCAGUGAUAGUUUUUCUUUAUGUUGUUGUUUUUAUGGAUCUUUUGCUGUGUAAAAACAUAUAUUGUUAUGCAAGUCGCCUGACUUGGGUCAGUCUACCAUUUUAGGCAGUUGGAUGAAUAUCCUACGUCUCCUAACCCUUCUUCCUCACCUCUUCUUCUUCCCCAACAGACCACCGCACGGGCCGUACGGAUACUCCCGAACAUGCGGUUGGAUAAACAUACUCUAUGAACGAAAAUUAUGUGUCAGCGGUAGGAUGGCUGAGUUUGGUUUGUUCACAUGCGACAACAUGUGUCAGUGAGGGUGCGUUCCCUUGGUUGGGUUUGCGACGUGCAGGAGCGACUGUGCAUGAGAGGGUGUGGUGCGACCGCGGCGUGCAGGAGCGACCGUGUGAGGGUGCGGUGCGAUCGCGACAGCCGUGCGCAAGUGUACUUCCUUUUCAUUUUCAAAACUUUAGGCAAGCUAGGCAAAAAUGUGUGGCGAAGUAUGGCAAUGCAAGGCCUAGAUCCAAACAGGAUAAGUACGUAGUACUACGUACUAGGAGUACUAGUGUUAAAAAAGAAAGGCGGGGUUUUCCUUCGCGGGAUUAAUCGAUACAAAUCCUCGUUUCACGUGUCAAUUAAUGCGCAUUUUUUCUCCAAAGCCCAAAGAGCUAACCAUCUCACUCCUCAUCGCUUGAUUAAUGCAGCUUCAUGCAACCAACCUUCUCACUUCCGCAUGCAUGCAGGGGAUAUUAAUGUCCUUGGUUACUAGUAUGAGGCAAACCCCAUCAAUUUUGCCUCGAUUAGUGUCAGUGGCCUUUUGAAAAUUGUAAUUUUGAUAUACUGGCCUUGUGUAAAAAAAUGGAGGUAGUAACUAUAUUUGACUUCCUUCCCCAUUGCGGUGACGUCGACGAUAUCUCGAACGUUGUGGUUUGGCGAAGUGCGUUCGACGGAGAACACCAUUGAGGGAGACCAUGGUAAGUCAUUCGCAAGUGUCGCCUGCAAGCUGAGACAACCGCCUUAUUUGCAUCCAGGAAGUCCGUUGAACCAAAGGACACGUAAAUGUACUAGUACUACUCGUACACAAUAGCGUCGUCCGUCCAGCUUAGUGCGGUGAGAUGGUUUCUCGAAGAAGACGAUGGAGAAGCGGAGUCAGCGAAGAGUGAAAUGAUGGUUGCUUCGUCCGUGCUUUGUGAUUUGAUGCCUCACUGCUUUGUGAUUUGUGAUAGAAGGGACAGGGGAGUAGACUCUGUCCUCUAUACUGUACAUGCGCCCAAGCACGGGAGAAAGAGGAGAGACGUUGCAUUUUUCUAUUCCUUCAAUCAAUCAAUCAAUCAGGGAGCUUCGGUUCCAUCCUUUUGGCUUUGGCAACACCAUCCACAAUGGUUCCCACGAUGCCAAAAGCUAUUUUCACAUUUGGCUACACAUUGUGGAUGCCCUUAACCGUACCACUGGGUUUUGCUCCUGUGUGCUAUCUAUACAAAUCUCAAUUAUAUUGAUCUAAAAAAUUAUAGAAUCAAGAUUAGUAAAAAGGAGGUGAUUUUGCCGCGCGGAUGGCGGGGGAGGUUUCUUAUUUUUAGAGGACGUUGUCCUGGCGGUUUGCUAACAUGCGGUCCCACGUGUCAGUGCUUUACCAAGCCGAUCCGCUUCCCACAUGAGGCAGAACAACGGCAGAAGCAACACGUGGUUAACUUGAAGAAGAUGAGGGAGAAGCGGAUUCAGCAACGAGUGAAAUGAUGGUUGCUUCGUCCCUCCAACUUGUUUUUUUAGCAUUAUUACUUCGUCCCUCCAACUUAACUGCGGGAAAGGUCCAGCUUUGUGAUUUGACGCCUCAUUGCUCAUUACUACGCCGACGCCAUGACUGGAUGCUUCACCCCGGCUGCUCUGCACUAUAUUCCGGUAUGGCACGUGGACCCGGUAGCUUGAUGCCCCACAUGUCGGCGAAAGGGACUAGAAGAUUUAUGAAAGUGAGCGCUCCACUCUUACGACGGAGGAGUACACGACACGACGGCCAAGUGAACUGUCACUUGUACUGUAUAUAGUACUAUAGUUUUGCUGUUUCGCACGAUCCAUCGAUACAAACCCGAUUAAACAGGAAAGGGCGGGAUUUUUCCCGCGCGGUAUAUGAUACUGGCCAUACAUUUCAAAGGCAAUUUUAAUGUAUGCAAACUAAAUAAUUAAGUAACAAUAUGAUAUCUAGUAAAACUAAAAACACAUAUGAUUUAUUGUGUUAGAGUGUAGUAGUAGUGUUGUAUUGCAUAGUUGUUAGAUGUAACAUGCGAGAACGUGUAGAGAUGUAGUUUUGGAGGGCCUACAGAGAGAAAAGCGUAAUACGUUCACCGAACUUCAGAAUAAGCUGAUUACGGUCACUAUAUACGUUUUGCGGUGAUUAUACGGUCACUUGCUCACGAUUCAGCAUCGGAUUGCACUCUGUUGACCGGCCAAAUAGUCUGCGUGGCACCAUGUUGACUAGUUAAAUUGACCACGUUCCUUGUGGGUCCCACCUGUCAUUUCGCAUAGGGAAAAGGUCAGAUAAACACAAAUUUACGCAGGCGCGACAAGACUCCACCCAGUGCGCGGGAAUCACCUGGUUGUGUAUGUGUCUGUCAGGGCCUGAUGUGUGAGCAUGCACGUGUAGGUUGAGCACUUGAGCGUGAGAAUGUGUGUUGGUCGUGUGGUGUACUGGUGUGUGCAUGCAUGCGUGCGUGUGUACGUGUGAGUGUUGCGUGCGUGCGUGGCUGCGUGUGUACGUGUGAGUGUUGCGUGCGUGCGUGGGUGCAUGUGUUCAUGUGAGUGUUGGGUGCAUGCAGUUCGUGUGCAUGCGUGCGUGUGUCUAUAAUCACCACACUAGCUCCUGUGUGUUAAAACAGAUGGCUCAACAUAUCAAUACAAGGCGACCUUGUCCGUUGUGCCCGCAGUCAUGACUUCGAACCACCGUCCAAUAUUUUUUUUGUCGUUUGUUUUCAUUCUUACUAGCAAGACGCCCGUGCGUUGCACGUAACAUCAAGAUGCAUUUGUAUGACUAGUUUAUCUUGCGAGAGAAAAGGAUGAACGAGGGAAGGCCUUAUUUGCAAAUGUGGAGAGGUGUGUGGGUACAUCUUAGGCAAAAUUGUCAUAGUUUCUUUCCUAUCCGUCGGAUAUAAAUGGGACGGCCUAUAUUGCAGGAUGGCAGGCACACCAUCAUCACCAACUCUGUUUUUUAUAAGAGUGUAUUUUAUCCCUACUUAUAAAAAGCAUAGUCGGUGAUGAUCGUGUGCCUGCCAUCCUGUAAUAUAGGCCGUCCGAUCUAUAUCUGACGGAUAGGAAGGAAACUAUGGCAAUUUUGCAAAAAGAUACCCACACCCCUCUCCACACUUGCAAAUAAGGCCUUCCCUUGUUCAUCCUUUUCACCCACAAGAUAAAGUACUCAUACAAAUGCAUCUUGAUGUUCCGUGCAACGCAUGGGCAUCUUGCUAGUAUUUUAUAAGAGUGUAGAUGUAGAGUAGAUACAAGCAGACAGGUGGGCCCGAUGCUAGUGAGAUAAUGUGAUGCAACACUAGAGGUGCCACGUGGAGCGUUUAACUGGUCAACUAGUCGUGUCUUGAGCAAACACAGAGUUGUACGGUGAGCCCGUGACUGUAUAAUAACCACAAAACAUAAAUGGUGACCGUAAUGAGUGGAUUCUGAAGUCCAAUGUACGUAUCGUGCUUUCGCUUCAAAUACAAUGAUCGUCACUGUAUAUAUCGCGAGAGAAAGAUGAAACAUGCGUGAAUGUGCUGGGGGCUUACUUUUAGAGGACCUGGAGAUAGUAUGUGUGCCUACCUGAAAGGGGCGUAGAGGGGGGUAUGCGAUGGAGAGAGAGAUGCUCUUCGUUUCUCUUUAUUAUGACUAACUUUAUAUAUAUAGUAUAAAAAUAUACAAAUUCACAGUGCAGAAUAAAUAUCAUUGUGGGCACCAUGCAAUGCAAGCGUUCAUACUCCUCCAUAUAACUUUGUAAUGUUGUAUAUAUGUAGAAAUUCUAAAAUAAUUUUUUGGCCACACUUUAUUCAAAAGGAAUGUUGUAUGCGAAAUAAACGUGAAGAGAGGGCUUUUUAGAUCAAUGGGGUACGUGAUGUAACAUGUGUGAAUGUGUGGUUGAUGCAUUUGGCAGGGCCUAGAGAGGUAUGUGUGUGUAUUACGUAUUCGAGAGAGGCAUGGAUAGAGGGGCCGACAGGGGGGGCGUGCGAGAGAUAGCACGAGAAAUGAGAGUGGUCUAGAGAGAGAGACGAAUAUGACGUCACGGCGAGAGAUUCCCUUGAGUGUGUAUAUGCAAGGGGGGAGUGGAUAGAGGCACCAGGAGAAUACAUUUUGUGUGUGUUGUGUCUGUGUUGGUAUGUGUGGGUGUGAGAAGAUAACGAGACAUGGGGGCAGAGGGUGUGUCACCGCGUGAGGUCCGGUGGGUCGAGGUGAGGCCCUUCGUUCGGUUCCGUCCCGCGCCACAUUGGUCGGCCCGUGACGCAUUUAGGGAGACCCAUGGAUGACUAGUCGUACAAGACAAAGAUAGCAUAAUUGUGAAGGACUCUAUGUCCACUGACAAAGCCGGCUAGGAUUUGUAACCCUAGGUUCUCGGACUAAGGUAACCCCUUUAUCUCUGAUAUUACUAUUCAUCCAACCUAACUUUAAGGGGCAUCCUAGGAAUACUCUGCUAGAAUCAUACUCGUCGAUUAGGAAGAUAGGUGUGAGACAAUGCAUGAGCGACAUGCCUAAAGAUAAUGUGCGUACAGGACACGUAGGCAGGUCUAUAUAUAUAGAAAGGGUCGAUGGGGAUUGUGCAUGUGUAUGCUUGCGAGAGGAAGAGUGCUUGUGAUAAAGGUUAGUGAAAACAGUCGUAAAUGGUUACGAGAGGGAGGGAGGGUUAUAUCGAGAGCAUGUGUGCGAGAAAGACACCUCAGGAGAGAGUGUGUGAGCAUGUGUGAGAGACCACCGAUGGAGACUGAAACUACACGUACAAGACUGAUGUACACGUUGAUUAAAGAUAUAAAUUGUAUCCAAAUAUUAGGAUGGGAUCAUGAUAUUUGCAAUUCGCGUAAGGAACGGUCAUUGAUCCAUCAGACAUCUAGAUUCUAUCGAAUUUGAGCAUGUCUAUGUUAUUAUUCGACACAAUUGAUCAAUAUAGCUAGUAUUUUGAACUCCAGACAAUGCAUCGCUUUAGCAAUCGAAUAUAAACGUGAGUAUAGUUCGUGUUGUGUGUGUAAAGCACAUUAUACAUACGAAAGUUACACAAUGAACAUUAUAAAUAGCUACCUAUGAACUAGCAUACAUUCGAAUUCAACUUAAGGUGGUUUUAAAAAAUCGAAUUCAACAUGAAGUCCAUUCAAUUAUUUGAAUUUGAUAUCAUGGCGUUUGUAAAUCAUACCUAAAUUAUGGGGGCACCAAUCUUUGCUCUGAUUUUGUACAUAAUAGCUUAUGUAGUCGUGUACAAAAUAGAUUCUAAUUUAGCUCCUCCAUUCCAAAAUAAUCGUAGUUAUAGGAUUUUCAAGUGUCAAAAGUUCAAAAAGAAGUGGAUAAUUUAAUGAGGUUUUCAAACAUACAAGGUCUAAUUUAACGUUGUCUAUUUAGGUCAAUCCUCAACGUUCAAGAGUACUCUAAACGUGAAUGCUUGUGUUUCGAAAUUUCGAACGAAGCGCCAAAAGAGCCUCUACUCGCCCGAAACCGUGUGAGACCAAUGUUUGGUAGUACAAGGAAAUUACUUUUCUAAUAACUCCGACCCGUGAAACCUACCGGCCCGACGUCCAAAGGUCUAAACCGGGGUAGGUUUGUAGCUUCAUCUAGACGCCACGCAACUGCCUCCGAAAAACAUUCAUACACAAUGGCCGCCUAAGCACACAUGCGCGCGGCCGAAAUCGCUCCCGCCCACUAUUUGGGACACCUGGGAUUACCAUCCUACCCCCGACCCGCAGUAGGUCCGAAAUUUAAGAGGGGGCAAAGUUUGUACUUCCCCAAAUUUCAAACAAGCGUGUCCCAUCUUCUGUUCAAAAAAGCCAAANNNNNNNNNNNNNNNNNNNNNNNNNNNNNNNNNNNNNNNNNNNNNNNNNNNNNNNNNNNNNNNNNNNNNNNNNNNNNNNNNNNNNNNNNNNNNNNNNNNNNNNNNNNNNNNNNNNNNNNNNNNNNNNNNNNNNNNNNNNNNNNNNNNNNNNNNNNNNNNNNNNNNNNNNNNNNNNNNNNNNNNNNNNNNNNNNNNNNNNNNNNNNNNNNNNNNNNNNNNNNNNNNNNNNNNNNNNNNNNNNNNNNNNNNNNNNNNNNNNNNNNNNNNNNNNNNNNNNNNNNNNCUCCAUGGGCGCAAAAACUACCUCUCCACCAGCCGCGAAACCCCGGCAUCCUCCGUCCGCCACCCCAUUCCACCCAUCAACCGCCGCCCUCCUCCAUCACGCCGGAGCCGAUACCCCGACGUCGUCGUCCACCGCAACCUCAACCACAACGCCCUCCACGGCUAGUAGUUGAAGCCGAGGCCGAGCCGUCCGUACCCGAGCCAGUUCAACCACGCCGUCCUAUGCCUCACCGCUGCCGCUCCAACUUCGCCACCCUCCACCGCACCAGAGCUGUUCCUGCUACGCCGUCCUUCGCCGCCUCGGAUCUGCUUCCCCUCCGCCGACAUACGGCCACGGCAACACAAUCAACAAUUUGGCCAUGGGUUUGUCCAAGAAUCCACGGUUCUCCAAAACAUCGGUUCCCCCGGGAGAAAAAAGAAAAUCGCCGCGACAUAUGGAGGAGACCACACUGGCAACCGAUAAGGGUACUCCUCGUCCCUUAUUCGUGCAAAUCUUACGUGUCUGCUUGCAUGGUAUUCAUCCCACAGAAGACACUAGUUGACCGCUUCUUCUUGAUACUAGAUGUUCCUAGAAACUCGCGAUGCACAAGGUUUCUCCUCAUAUACUAUUUCACCUUAGCUAGAGGUCCGUCGCCCCCCUGAAUUUCAAUUCCUGGUCAGUUGAUUCCCAAUUAACGAAAGCAUUCCCCGGCGUAACAGGCGCUAGUCCGCCUAUUACGCCGGGGAAGCAGCGCCUCGGUGUUUAUCUUACACUACUGGAAUCAGGGAUUUUGCCGUCUGCCAGUUCUUUGCCGUCUGCUAGCAGAUGGCAAAGAAGGUCUUUGCCAUCAGCUAUCAAAAAGCAGACGGCAAACAACUGACAGACGGCAAAAUCGGUCUUUGCCAUCUGUCAGUUCUUUGCCGUCAGCUGGCUGACGGCAAAGAGAGAGGUGGCCUCUAGUAAUGAGCUGAUUAGAAAAACUUAACGCCCCCCUCUUUGCCGUCUGCUAGCAGAUGGCAAAGAUAAAGAAAAGCGGACGACAAAGCCUCGGCGGACGGCAAAGAAGAAGCACACCACGCGGAUAGACCACACGGAUAGACCACACGGAUCAAUGACUUGGCGAAAUCCUAGACGCACGUCCCACCCACUCACAGCCAUCGGACGCAUGCCCCCACUGACCCAUGAUGCACGCGCGCCCACGCACAGCCCCAUCGACGCAUAGCCCCACCCACGAUUCCCCUCUCCUUCUGCCAGAGUAGUAGCACACCACCGGUCAUCGCUCUCCUCUCUCCUGCUAGUCCCACCUCUCUCCUACUCCCCCGAGCAGCCGCAUGCCGCGGGCCAACGCACGCCGCGCGCGCCUCCCUGUCCGGCGCUCCCGAGCAGCCGCAGGUUCAGCCCAACGCACGCUCGUCCCCGAGCAGCCACACGGGGAGGCCACCGCCCGCGUGCCUGUCCAUCCGUCGCCGCGUCAGCGCCCUCCCGCCCCUCCGUCCGGCCGACGUUGCGCCCCUCGACCGCCUGUCCAUCGUGGCCAACAGCCUCGCCGUGUGCAUCUCCGUCGUCGUCGCCGCGUGAAGCUCUGCCACCUCGCCAGUGCCACGUGAAGUUCUGCCACCUUGCCAGCGCCACGUGAAGCUCACCUGAGCCCGUCCGCACCGCGAGCUCCAUGCGCACUCGAGCUCCUCACCCGCCGGCCGUGCGCCCCGCCUCGCGAGCUCCGCCGGUCGCGCACCUCCCAUCCCCGACCUCCCUCGCGUGCACCCCCUCGCCCCCGCGCCGGAGCAAGUCAGCUCCCGAGCGCGGCUGAGCAGGGUCAGACAGUGGCGCAGCGAGAAGCGCCGGGCGGCGGCGCAGCCAUAGUCGGGCUGGACGACGGGGCGGGCAGAGCACUGCAGUGGAGAGCAAGGACUCGAUUGCCUUUCAGUUUUAAUUUUUAGGGCCUUUUGUGUUAAUUUCCAGGACUAUGUUGUAAGUUUAGUUUUCUCGGGGUCCUGUUUGAACUUUGUACUCCACUAAUGUUGAACAAAAGGCACCAAGGCACGGCCUGUCCUUUCCCUGUUAAAAAGAAAGAUAGGGAAGUGCACUUGCAUGCGUUGACCGCAGCACUCGGGAGCAUUGUUGUUGUGUUUUUUUUAAAUAUUAUCCCUUUUGUUUGCUGUCUGUGACUCACGAGGCGGACGGCAAAGGCUACGUUGUUAGUCCGUUCGUCUGCUUUCUUUGCCGUCUGCUGCUGAUGGCAAAGGUCCCUUUGCCGUCAGCCGCCAAAAGCAGACGGCAAAGUAGCUGUUUACCGUAGCCUACUUUGCCGGAGCCUUUUGCCGUCCGCGGCUGACGGCAAAGGCCUUUGCCGUCCGCCGUUCAUGCCUUUGCCGUCCGCCGUGGCAGACGGCAAAAUAGCUGAUUUCUGUGGUGUUAGGGGAGUGUGGGGCCUAGAACUACUGGCGCCCGAUCUGGAGGUCGGCCGGGAUUAAAGGGAUGGCAUGGGGGCGCUGCCAAGCACGGCGGUGGUGUGAGGCCGAGGGGAGGGUGGGGCGGCGGAGGCAGGGGUCUGGGCCGGUGGUCACUGGCGGUUCGAGAAAGAUCGUCAACGGUGACUGGCGGGAGGUAGACGAAGGCCAUCUGCCCAUUCCUUAUAGAUCGGAUGGUUCAUUAAAAAAAUCGACUGAUCUAUUUAUUUUCAGUCGACUGUUAUCUUGACAUGACCACAUGUGGUGGUGUGCUGGAGGAGUACCUGCAUUUCCUGUGCUCAUAUAUUAGAAAAUCAUACAGAGUAGAAUCUAAUUUUGUUUGCCAUGCAAUGUUGUAGAGCUAUCAUAUGUCUCCUGUCAUUUAUUUUUUAGCCACCUGUUAUCUGCUACUUUUACAAUGCACUAGUUAUGCACACACUUCACCCAUACUCUCACUAUUGUGUUUUUAUGCAAGGGUAUUUCAGACCCUGCCUUGACAGAAGCAGAAAAGAUAAGAGAGAAGUCGCUCCAGUGUGGUACGCGUCUAAGCCAGACACGUUUCAAGACUUUAAAGGAUGUAGUGUCAGCAGAUGGAGACGGGGAACGUAGCUCUGGAGUUGAUGAUCUCGCUCGCCAUGAACCACCAUCCCAGGUGCUUGCUUUAACUUCACGUGUCAUAUGUGGUUGCAUGUUCCAUAUGGUGUCUAGCUUGUAUUCGAAAGGCCGAAGUCGGUCUUUAUUAAGAUAAGGAAAGAUAUUUUUUACAUGAACCACCAUCCCGUGAGCACCAGAAGACAAAUAGCUAGUCAGGGCGCUGGCCGAGCCAGUGACUAGCCCAGCAAAGAGAGGCAUCACCUGGAAGCCAACUAAAAAGCCGCGAUGGUGGCGAAGCAGCCCGCCUCCCACCAGGCUCUCAGGUCCUAGAUGAUCAUGCUCACCACUCCAGCCGGAUGUCUAGCUUGUAUUGCUUCCAAUUUGGUUAAAUUGCAUCUGCUUAGCUUACACAUUAUACCUUUGAAUAUGACAUGCCUUUCUGUUUUUGGUACAUACUAGUACAUCUGUGUAUUAACCAUGUUCUUACAUCAAAAUAAUGUUCUUGUGUAUCCCUCAUCAAUCACUUAUGAUGAGGCAGUCAGGCAAGCGGAAUACUCCUCAUUUAAAGAAUGCAGCGUCAGCCUCCUGACAUGAUUCUCAAGAAACAGCAAGGCUAGAUGAAGAUAGUGAACGUAGCUCUGUAGUUGAUUACCGCAUUUCCCCUACACUAGCAUCACAGGUGCUUACUCUAACUUGGCAGCGUGAUAUGUGGUUGCAUGUUGCAUAUGGUGUCUAGAUUGUAAUUCUUCCAAUCUGGUUAAAUUGCAUGUGCUAUUCUGCUUAGCUUAUACAUUAUACCUGUUAAUGUGACAUGCCUUCCUGUAUUUAGUACAUAGUACAUCUGUCUAUUAAGCAUGUCCUCACAUAAAACUAUUGUUUUUUUGUAUCCUGCAUAAAUCAAUAUGACGAGACACCUUCAGUAUAUGCAGUGUGAUAUUAGUUGCAUCUUUGAUAUGAUUUAUAGCAUGCGCUGCUUCUAAUUUGUUGAAAUGCCAUUUAUGAUGGGACACUUUUAACUUGGCAGAGUCAUAUUGGUUGAAUCUUUCACGUGGUGUCUAGCUUGCAUUGCUUCUUAUUUGGUGAAAUAGUUUCUGCUUAGUUUACACAAACAGUUGUGAAUAUGUCAUGCCGUCCUAUUUUUCGUAUUAUUCCAUCCUGGAAUCAUGUGUUUGCCUUACAUCAAAGUAGUGAUUGUCAGUAUCAUGCACGAAUGAGUUCUGAAGAGUGAAUUUUAUUGCUUUUUCUUGUCGGUUUUACUUGACAAUUCAAAAUCAAUAAAGCGAAAGGAAUUUAGCAAGGCAGUGGAUGAAGGUGCUCCUUCCAAAUGGAGGGCCUCUACAGAUUCUACUCCUCCAUCCCCCCAAGAUGAUUUCCAAGACAACACAUGCAUAGACACUCAACGUAGCUGUGUUGGUGAUCAGCACGUCCCCCCUAGUGCACCAUCACAGGUGCUCCCUCUAACUUGGCACUGUUAUAUGUGGUUGCAUGUUAUGUAUGAUGUCUAGCUUGUAUUGCUUCUAAUUUUGUUGAAUUGCAUCUGCUUACUUUACACAUUAUACUUGUGACUAAGACACGUGUUCCUGUUUCUAGAACAUACAAUAUCUGUCUAUCACACCAUGUUCUUACAUCAAAGUACAUUUGUUCUGAAGAACUAAAUUGUUAUUCGUUUUUCUUGUCGGCUUGACUUAACAUGGCACAGAGAAAGAGGAAGCAAGACAGAACGACAGGGAAAGGGAAGCGGAACAAUCCUGCAGAUUCUGCUGGUACUGAUGGUGUAAUAGAAGGGAAAAGUCCAGCGGAAAAUUGUACCGACAGGGUAUCCCAUGCUACACGAGCUGCAGAACAAGCCAAACAGAAACAAAUAGCUGCCACCAAACAAGCAUAGACAACCCUAGUUGUUGCAACACCUUCCACAGUACCACCAGCUGCACGAUUUACUCGUUCAUCAACUCGGCUAGCAGCACGUUCCCAAGCUUCCUUGCCACCUGACACUACUUUUGAAGCACUCUUGACACAAGAUGAGUUGGCAAGAUCAGAUGAACUUUGUGAGCUUCAAUAGCAAGAAGGUAGUUGCUGGAGUCAAGUUACAGUUGCAUGCUUCUUUAUAUGUAGUCUCACAGUUUGAUGUACACUAACACUUCCUAUGUUUGUUGUUGGACUAGCACCUAGGCGCAAGAGGAAACAAACAUCAGGGAUAAUGCUCGAUAGGUUAACUAAAUCUAGAGGAGGAAGAAUGGAGAUCCGUUUUGAGCCAGGUUUAAAAAGGCCACGUGAUGCUACAGAGUCAGCCAAGUUAGUAUCAGAGGCAGCGGUUGCUGUUAGGUGUCAUGUAUGUAUCCUCCCAACAUGGAUUCAGUACAGGAAUGACAAAGACGAAACCCAGUUCAACACCUUCCUCGACCAUUUAUCUGUAAGUAUGGUUAUGUAUGGAAACUAUUAAUAUCGUCUUGCUCUGUCCAAUACUUUCUAGGUUGCUGAUAAUGAGACUCCCAUAAUUUUCAACAGAUGAGGUUCAAGUUGGAGCCAAGAUGAUCCAACCAGACAAGCUUGCACCCAUGUUUUCAAGUCUGCUCUGCGACAGUAUCGGUAUAACUUGAGGAAAACUCACUUUGAAGGCAAGGCUAAUAGUGAACUUGCCCAAACAUCUCCGGUGGAAAAUAUAUCUGAUGAAGACUGGAGAGGCCUCGUUAAACACUGGUCCGAUCCGAAGUAUCAGGUACAUUAUAUAUAUGUGAUCAGAUCACAUGUUGAAGUCCUAUUUACGCAUGUGCCACACAAAUCUAUCUUCUUGUAGGUGAAUUUUUCAAAGAACAAGGCCAACCGUACGAAAGUGAAAUUCCAACAGACGACAGGAUCUCGUAGCUAUAUUGCACACUGCGAGGCUCUUGUAAUUAGCUGUUGUUUCACUCUUUUCGCUGUACCAUUUAUCAUAUCUAUAUUGACUUGUUCCAAAUGCAGAGGAAAGCCCGCAAGGACCAAAAAGUACCUGAACCAAAUGCUGUGGAAAUCUUCAAGGACUGUCACACCAGCAAGAAGAAGGGCAUGACUACACCAGUCAAAGCCGUUGUUGUAAGUCCUUAAUCCUCAUGCCUUUUAACUACUACUUACUCUGACUUGUGCCUUGAACUGCGUAGUUUGCAGCCAAUGUCUAUUACUCUUUUCAAUUUUAUACACAAUUGUCUUAGCGUAUCAUUGCACCUUACAAGGUUUAAAAGAGAGGAGUGAUGUUCCUUUGAUCUUGACAUGUAAUCUAGUUUCGUGCUGGACUUGCCCACACAAUGUUACAAUUGCCUGUUUGUCUGUUCUCAGUUGUUUUGUGAUAUGAAUGAUGCCAUACUAUGCUUACCGUAUUAUAAACUUCGUCUCUUUAUCCUUAGCCCUCAAUACGAUGUGAAGAAAUAGACAAUACAUUAGCGAUGGUACAUGGUCAUAUAUUUGGAACCUGGUUUUAUUAUGUACUUUGCAAUAAAAUACAACUAUUAUUUUACAUGGGUUCACCAGAAUAAGUUCUGUACAUAGACCAAAGCUAUUUUGUUUGGUUUUGUUGCCUCCUUAAUACCUUCUGUUCUGGUACUACUAAUGUAAAACCACAACUUUUCAGCGAGCUAUGGAAAAAAUGGUGGAACCGCCACCUUCUGAAGGUGGCGAGGCAACUAUAACCGCAAUGUCAGCUCUUGCUGCAGUGGGUCAGUACCUGUCCACUAACAGUGGCAAAAGCACGUUCCUGCGCAAUACUUGGUUGGUUGUUAAGGCAAUCUCGUCCAAACUGCCUCAUGAUCAAGAUAUGCAAGCUCAAAACAAUGUUGUAUCUGCGCUCCAGACACAAGUCCAUUCCCUAACAAAGACCCUUUGUGAAACAAGGAGAGACAUUGUUCGAUGUUGUCCAGAUAUGCAUGGUUUUGAAACCAGACUAUCAGACAUUUGCUAUGUUGUUCAGGAGCCUAGGAGAACUGAAGGCGAAGGUUAUGGUGCUCCAUCGGAUAAUACAGCAUGAAAACGUAACAGUCAGGUCAAAUGAACUGAGCUUCUGAACUUCUGGUGGUGCAUUUAUCUGCUAGACUGUUAACUUUUAUGCCAACCUUCCUUUUGUUUUAUAGUUAUAAUUUUUUUGGUGCGAUACAAAAUUUUUUCUUAACGUGCAGCCACCGGCUGAAGAAAACAGCAAGCCAUUUUUGUAUAGUGUAGGGUGUUCCCUAUAUUUGCAUUGGUGGCGAACUUUGAUGCCCACCGGCUGUAGUUUACAUGGGCCUCCUACGGGCCGUAGAAACAAUGGGCCUUCUAAGGGCCGUAGAAACAAUGGGCCUUCUACGUGGCGUAGAAACAAUGGGCCUUAUACGGGCCGUAGACACAAUGGGCCUUCUAUGGGUCAUAUCAUCAAUGGGCCUUCUACGGGCUUAUGAUCUGUUGGCCAAACAUGGGCCAAUAACAGACCACAUUAUGGCCGUAAAUGGGCUAGAGUUGAAAUCGUCCGUUCAUGGGCCGACCAUAACGGGCCGUCGUUAAUCGGCCGUAUUUUGAUGACGCUAUGAAAACGACCCAACGUAUUAACGAGCCGACUGUAACCACGGGCUGAAUUUGGCCCACAAGCAGAAAAUGACAGUAACGGGCCGUAAGUAAACGAAUGUGGAAAUGAGCCCAAGAAUAAAUGGGCCCCGAGAAGGCUGAAAGAUAACAUGGGCUGGAAAUGGCCCAACGGAAUAAUGGGCCGUUAAUGGGUAUAAAGUGAUACACUGUUCAUUACGGGCCAGUUUCACAACGGGCCGUUAAUGGGUAUAAAGUGAUACAUUGUUCACUACGGGCCAGUUUUACCAUUGGUCGUUAAUGGGCCGAGAGUAAUAAGGGCCUCAUAUGGGCCGAAAGACGUCAUGGGCCAUACAUGGGCCGAAAGUUAAAACGGGCUGGAAUUAUCUUGGACGGCCUAGAUGACGCUAUUGGGCCUAAUUCGGUUAGGCCGUAAACGGGCCCUGGGUUAGCGGGUUGUAAAUGGGCUAUAUGCGAACAGGCCGUUAAGAGGCUUGCCGUGGGCCGGCCCGCCACCUUUUCACCAAGUCAAACGGGCCGGCCUUUUCACAGGAAUGGGCCUCUAUUGGGCCGUGCCACAUGUCGACGUAUCAUAGGCGCUUUGUGUCCAAUGAGUGGAUGACAUCUGUCCCAAUGGUGAGUUGACACGUGUUUCCUCCAGCCAAUGAUGAUUUUUCACGUGGAAAAUCCCCAUUGGCCGGGGCUGUUAACGGGUUAUCGGAUCCAAAGCCAGACCCGAUAGCUUAACGGUGUUCCGUUACGGUGGAUGCCACGUGUCGGUCACCCUUGACGAAAGCACUUCUGUGACGCGCGAUUUAUCGUCAUGGAAGUGGACACUUCCGUGAUGAUAAUUUUGGUAAUGUCAUGGAACACUUCUACGACAGCACAUGUAUGACUAUCUUGAUUCUGUCAUAAAAUUGUCAUGGAUGUACAUGCAUGACAGAAAAUGUGACCUACUGUGACAAACAUGUAUCAUCACGGAAGUGUAUAUUUUUUGUAGUGCACCUCGCGGUCGGGAUAGAGCGGCAAUUCAAGCCGAACAGCAGCCCGCCCCGCCGCCACGAGAAAACAGAGACAAAACAGUCCGGGGUCAUGCAUACGACCUCCGGCAAACCCUGGAGAGUAGAGCAGGAUAUACCCGAUCGAUCUACGGAUCGCGAGGACGUUCCUCGACAAGUGAUGAUGGCUACCUAUUCUGACGUGACAAACCUAGUCACACCCGAGCCGACAACCGCAGAUGGAAUCCAUCAGAGCUACGUCGCGACGGGCCCGAUAUAGAGGCGCCGCACACCCUCUUUGCUUCACUGAUGGAGUAAUGGAUCACGAAUUCCCCGAAGGGUUCAAACCCGUGAAUAUCGAAUCAUACGACGGGACGACUGAUCCCGCGGUAUGGAUCGAGGAUUUUAUCCUCCACAUCCACAUGGCCCGCGGAGAUGACCUACGCGCUAUCAAAUACCUCCCACUAAAGCUUAAAGGGCCAGCUCGACACUGGCUAAACAGCCUGCCUGAAAAUUCUAUUGGCGGCUGGGAGGACUUGGAAGAGGCCUUCCUCGAUAACUUCGAAGGUACAUAUGUCCGGCCACCAGACGCCGAUGACUUAAGCCACAUAGUUCAACAGCCUGGGGAGUCAGCCACGAAGUUCUGGACUAGGUUCCUAACUAAAAAGAACUAGAUCAUCGACUGUCUGGAUGCCGAAGCCCUAGCGGCCUUUAAACACAGCAUCCGCGACGAAUGGCUCGCCCGCCACCUCGGCCAAGAAAAGCCAAAAUCUAUGGCAGCCCUCACGGCACUCAUGACCCGCUUUUGUGCGUGCGAGGAUAGUUGGUUGGCUCGCAGCAAAAACACAGCCAGCGAGGCAGGACCCUCUAAGGUUAAGAACAGCAACGGCAAGCUCCGACGUAACAGACACAAACGCCGAAGCAAUGGGGAUAAUACCGAUGACACUACAGUCAACGCCGGAUUCAGCAGCUCCAAGUCCAGCCAGCGGAAGAAACCGUACAAGAGAAACAAUCAGGGACCAUCCAGCCUGGACCGCAUACUCGAUCGCCCGUGCCAGAUACAUGGCACCCCAGACAAACCAGCCAAUCAUACCAACAGAGAUUUUUGGGUUUUUAAACAGGCCGGCAAAUUAAACGCCGAGAACAGGGAAAAGGGAUCACAAAGCGAGGACGACGACGAGGAGCCCCGGCAACCGAACACAGGAGGACAGAAGAAGUUUCCCCUCAAGUGAAAACAGUGAACAUGAUAUAGAGACGUCUAUGCACAUCCCCAAAAGGGAGCGCAAACGCGCACUAAGGGACGUCUAUGCAAUAGAGCCAGUCGCCCGAAAAUUCAAUCCAUGGUCGUCAUUUCCGAUCACCUUUGAUCGUUGGGACCACCCGAUUAGUAUCCGUCAUGGCGGUUCAGCCGCACUAGUCCUCGACCUAAUCAUCGACGGAUUUCACCUGACGCGCGUCCUUAUAGACGGAGGUAGCAGCCUCAACCUGCUUUAUCAGGAUACAGUGCGAAAAAUGGGCAUCAAUCCAUCAUGGAUCAAGCCCACAAAGACUACCUUCAAAGGAGUCAUACCAGGUGUCGAGGCCCGCUGUACGGGCGCAAUCACGCUAGAAGUUGUCUUCGGGUCUCCGGACAAUUUCCGAAGCAAGGAAUUAAUCUUCGACAUCGUCCCCUUUCGCGGCGGCUAUCACGCACUGCUCGGACGAACCGCGUUCGCUCGAUUCAAUGCAGUGCCACACUAUGCUUAUCUUAAGCUCAAGAUGCCCAGUCCACGUGGCGUCAUCACGGUCAACGGAAAUACGGAACGCUCCCUCCGUACAGAAGAGCACACAGCUACCUUAGCAGCAGAAGUACAGAGCGUCCUUCUCAAGCAGAACCCUAAUUCGGCUGUCGAGCCCACGGACACCGUUAAGAGGGUCCGAACUACCCUGCAGCAGGACAGCUCGGCUCGUCAGGAGCUCGACUAGCAAUCCGGCCUCCAUCUCAGUCCCGAUCUGGCGGUGGCAUUCGCGCCGUGCGUACAUAACUACGCACUCGAAAUUCCAUGGGCAUCGACGGAGGCACAGCUAGCUUGCGAUCCACGGUGCGGCUCAACCGGCACCGGAUACGCACAUACUUUCACGUUUACUUUUUCCUUUCAGGUCUCAAUCCUACAUACCUCAUCCGAUGGCCUGAUCAAGGGUCCUCUCGAAGGACAAACACACCAAUACGGCAAGAAUAAGAGCGGUCGGGAUAGUUGACCCUUUGGAUGGUAUUAUACAAGCUCGGCACGGGAGAGCCGCAGACAUAUGGGGGACUUCUCUAGGUGGUUUCGUUAAACGAUCACUCUACCUAUUUUUCAGGACCCAUGCGUAGCUCUCUCUCGGUGAAGGCAUAGUAAAUAGCCUUUCUGCUUAUUGCACUACUUGUAUAAACGCACUUUAACGCACCAAUGGAAUUAUAAUAGAAACAGUUUGCGGCCCAAAUUUCCACGGCUCUAGCUUACCACUGGUUCUUCCUCUUUCUUUCUUUUUUGCCUUUUCCUUCCUGGUAAUUUUAUCAUAUAACACCCUCACACUCGGUGUGUUCCACCUUGCCAGGGGCUUCAUAGCACCCCACAACAUGGCAACCCAAGUCCGAACACUUUUACAGUAUAGUUCGGUACCCCGAAUUUAGCACUAUAUGCAUUGGCUCCGAAUCAUGUCUUUGGUCAAUAGUUAGGUUGCCCGGCUCCUGUGCUUGCUACCUUACAUUUCGCUAUAGCGGCUAAGGGAGUAAAGGGAGAACUAAUGCGAUUGUGCACUGGUUUAUCCAAUGGAGCACUUCAGUAGAGAAAGCCAAAAACUGACUGUCAUGAUACGGCGAGAGCCGGUCAGCUGUUCGGAGGUUGCAAAUCGUUGGAGAUUUCUUCCGCAUUACGCGAAGGAUCGGUACUUCCCGAUCAGACGCUCAUAGCACACUGGUUCGGAUACUAGGGGUUGUGCCUAUGUUUUAUUGUAAAACUCCUAUGGCUAAGUGAGGGCGUUUAAGCCGCAUAGUCUGAUUGCCUGGUUCGUUGCGCUAAACAACUCCUUCAAGGACCAUAUAAUUCGAUCAAGAUUGUUUAGAUUCCGUCCCGAACACCUCCGUACUACCUAUGUGGGGGCAGAAGCCGACGACUGGCCAACCCUCAGAUUCCAUACAACACGGCCGCACAGGAGGAAAAAAUUAAAACAUAACAAGCAUUAUAUUACAAACCGACUUUGUUUCAUCAUACAAGGCAAAGACAACACGAAUGUAUUCAUUCGAAAAUAAUGUCCCGCCCACACUGCGUUGCCACAAUGCAAGACCCCUCUAGGACAUCCGCAAAAUAGUGCUCGGGUGUGCGGUGCUCCUUGCCCUCUGGCGGCCCCCUGGCCAGCUCGACGGCGUUCAUCUUCGCCCACCACAUCUUGCAACGGGCGAAGGCCAUGCACGCACCUUCAAUACAGGCCGAUCGCUUGACGACGUCCAGCCAAGGACAGGCGUUCACAAGCCGCUUCACGAGUCCGAAGUAGCUGUCGGGCAUAGCUUCGGCUGGCCAUAGCCAGAUUAUCAAAUCCUUCAUGGCUAGUUCGGCCACCCUAUGCAGCUCCACCAGCUGUUUCAGCUGAUCGGUGAAGGGCACGGGAUGCUCUGGCGCAAGAUACUGCGACCAGAACAAUUUUUCCGUGGAGCUCCCUUCCUCGGCUUGAAAGAACUCCGCGACAUCAGACACACUGCGCGGUAGAUCUGCGUAGGCUCCUGGAGAACUCCGAAUCCGGGUUAGUAAGAGAUACUUAUUCCUCAUAUACUUGCUUUGCAUACUAAAUGCCUUACCAGCCGCAAUCUUCCUGGCCUCCUGGAUCUCUUGGAGGGCGCCCUGGGCCUCAUUCCGGGCCGUCUCCGCGCUCUGAUGAACCUGGGCGAGUUCGGUCUCUUGAACCAACGCGUCGUGCUCCAAGGUCUUGCACUUCCUCACCGCGUCCUGGAGCUCUUGUUGAACCUCGUUGACCCGGGCCUUGAGCUUCUUACGGGCGGCCUGCUCCUUGACAACCUUCCCCUCGGCUUCGGCCAGGGCCUUCUUCAGGGCCUCAACCUUGGUCGUUACUCCUAUACAUAUCAUGACACUUCGGUCAAUACAUAUGAUCUUACUCUUUUCGAAUAUUUCACGGGUUAUUACUUACCUUGAUUCUCCUGGAGCUGCCUCUUCACCUGGCCGAGCUCCUCCUUGGCCUGCUCCAGUCUCCGCUUCAGUUCGGAGACUUUGGCAGCAUGUGAGGCCGCGGCCAGCAGCGACGCCUGCAUAUCCAUUCCAGACAAAUUUAGUUAGUUUCCUACAAUAAAGGAUUGAUCCUCUGUCCGGCUUUUUUCUUUCCGAAGCACCAGACAGUGUCUCAGGGGCUACUGUCUAUAUUGGGAUUUUCUCUUUUUGCGUCGCUUACCUCAAAACCUGUCAGCAGGCUGCUGCAGGCUUCGGUUAGUCCGCUCUUGGCAGACUGAACCCUUUCAAUCACCAUGCCCAUAAGAACACGGUGCUCAUGCACAAUGGAAGCGCCUCGCAGCGCUUCCGGUAGAUCACCUGGUGCCCCUGGUUGGACAGGGGUCACCGGUGGAAUAGGCAUACCCCCUCCUUUCAAAGGAGGUUGCGUGCGGGAUUCCGGAGCCAUAUCGGUCUCCGGAAUCAAGUCCGGAUGAGGGCCGAACUGAAUAUGGCCCUCAUCCCCAAUCUCCAGGGGGAUUCGCUCCCCCUGGUGUUCGGCAACGGGGGCUUCACCUUCGGGCACCUCCUGAGCCUCUCCCUGGCCUAGGAAGGUCCGUUGGGAGAGCACCUCGUCGUCUCCUUUGGCCUUGGGAGAAUAAGCGGCCGGCGGUGUCUCGCUGGCCAUCUCCUUUGAGUCCAACGAACCUCUUGAUGAGGAUCGCUGGGAGCUGUCAUGGGCCGGACUGCAAUAGCAUAAUUAACCAUGUCAAUACAUUGAAGUGGAGAGGCUGGACAUAUGGGUAUGCGGGAGUCAUAGCACUUACAAUGCAACUUCAGGCUUGGUGCGGGGGUGUCGCUGUCGACGUCCCACGCGGAUUUGUCCGCGAAGGAGCCCUUCCCCUUCUUGGACGUCCCCGCCUCCAGGUUCGUGGAGGCCGCCCUCUUCUUCCUUCCCUCAUUAGGGGGAGGGUUGUUCUCCUCCUCCUCCUCAUCGUCGUCAUCUUCGGCGGUGGGGGAGCGGGUCUUGUCUUCGGACGUCGUGUCCAAAGCGCUCUUGCGACGGGGGCCACUCUGGACCCCCUUGGCCUUCCCCUUGGCCUUCUUCGCCGGCGCUGUAUAGGGCGCCGGCACCAGCAUCUUCGCUAAACGCGGAAUGACUGGUUCUUCAGGUAGCGGAGCCGGACACUGGAUCCGCUUCGCCCUCUUCAUCCAUUCCUGAAGAAGCAAUGACAGUAAAAGUUCAGAUAUCCUCAUUGAAGCUGACAAGUAGAGGACGUGUUGGAAACUCACCUCGCUGGCGGGGUGGUUAAUGUCGUGCCCAUGAUCCGAAUCCGUGGCUGGUGGUGUCUCGUUGCCCUUAAAGAGCAACUUCCAGGCAUCUUUGUGAGUGGUCUCGAAGAGCCUCUUCAGGGUAUGGUGCUUCUUUUGAUUGAACUUCCAUAGCGGGAGGCUUCGACUUUGGCACGGGAGAAUCCGGCGAACUAGCAUCACCUGGAUUAUAUCGACAAGUUUGACAUCCUUGUCCACCAUGCUUUGAACGCGCGUCUACAGCGCUAUCAGCUCGUCUGGCGAACACCGGUUCGGGCUCUUCUCGACCCAGGAGGUGAGCCGCAUUGGGGCACCGGGGUUGAAUUCGGCAGCUGCGGCCCAAUUGGUGCCGCGGGGUUCUGUAAUGUAGAGCCACUGUUUCUGCCAUUCCUUGACAGUCUCCACGAAAGUGCCUUUUGUCCAGGAGACAUUGGACAACUUACUCACCAUGGCUCCUCCGCACUCCGCGUGCUGGCCAUCCACCACCUUCAGCUUCACGUUGAAGACCUUGAGCCACAGCCCGAAGUGGGGUUGGAUGCGGAGGAAGGCCUCACACACGACGAUGAACGCUGAGAUGUUGAGGAAAGAGUUCGGGGAUAGAUCAUGGAAAUCUAUCCCGUAGUAGUACAUCAGCCCGCGGAAGAAAGGGUGGAGUGGAAACCCUAGCUCGCGAAGGAAAUGAGGGAUGAAUACUACCCUCUCGUUGGGCUUCGGCGUGGGGACGAUUUGCCCCUGGACUAGAAGACGGUGAGCAAUUUCCUUCGCCAAGUACCCGGCCGCGCGAAGCUCAGUAAUGUCCUUCUCCCUGACAAAGGAGACCAUCCACUUCCCUUGACCUCCGGAUCCAGACAUGGUUGAGUGCUAGCUUGAGUGGGUAGAAGAUGGGGACUUGGGCGCUGGAGCUCAAGAUUGGAAGGGCGGAGGAAGAGAGAAGGCGUGGGAGAAGAAGGGGGAUCCUAAUCCCCUUAAAAAGGCAGUGAAUAUUGAACGCCUCCCCAUUCGCCCCGAAACUCGCCUAUUCCCAAGGACUGUGUAAACAACACGGUUGGGUUACCCACGCCCGUAUUGAUGAGAACCCCGCGAUAAGGGGACACGAUCUCUGCUUUGACAAGACGUGCCAAUGGCAACCGCGUCUCAAAAGGUGGAGCGGCAGACGAAAAAUGGUUUGAAAUUAUGACCGGACAGAUAUGAUGUCAUGUUACAAAAAGUUGUCAGCAGAUUGGACUCAUAUAAAAUUAUAUUCUCUCCACGGUUGUGUGUGGUGUGUGUGUUAUAGGUCUGGACACGUCGAUACGUCCGAAGACUAUUUUGGAGUUCGGAAGGAGGAAUCCGCCUUGCAAUGCCGAAGACAGAUCUAGGCGCCGGAUACCUUGUCAUUGAAGCCAGGUUCAGGGGCUACUGAGGGAGUCCUGGACUAAGGGGUCCUCGGGCCUCCGACCUAUUAGCCAUGGGCCGGACUGAUGGGCUAUGAACAUACAAAGACCGCAGACUGCACCCGUGUCUGGAUAGGACUCUCCUUGGCGUGAAAGGCAAGCUUGGCGACCGAAUAUGUAGAUUCCUUUCUUUGUAACCGACCUUGCGUAACCCUAGAUCUCCCCGGUGUCUAUAUAAACCGGAGGACUUAGUCCGGAAAGGAGAGACUCAUGACCAUAGUCAUACAAGCUAGACCUCUAGGGUUUAGCCAUUACGAUCUCGUGGUAGAUCAACUCUUGUAAUACUCAUAUUCAUCAAGAUCAAUCAAGCAAGAAGUAGGGUAUUACCUCCAUAGAGAGGGCCCGAACCUGGGUAAACAUCGUGUCCCUUGUCUCCUGUUACCGUCGACCUUAGACGCACAGUUCGGGACCCCCUACCCGAGAUCCGCCGGUUUGACACCGACAACACCGUGUCCGGAUGGGACUCUCCUUGGCGUGGAAGGCAAGCUUGGCGAUCAAAUGUGUAGAUUCCUUUCUUUGUAACCGACCUGGUGUAAACCUUAGAUCCUUCCGGUAUCUAUAUAAACCAGAGGACUUAGUCCGGAGGGGGGAGAUUCAUUACCAUAGUCAUACAAGCUUGACAUCUAGGGUUUAGCCAUUACGAUCUUGUGGUAGAUCAACUCUUGUAACACUCAUAUUCAUCAAUAUCAAUCAAGCAGGAAGUAGGGUAUUACCUCCAUAGAGAGGGCCCGAACCUGGGUAAACAUCGUGUCCCCUGUCUCCUGUUACCAUCGACCUUAGACGCACAGUUCGGGACCCCUACCCGAGAUCCGCCGGUUUUGACACCGACAUUGGUGCUUUCAUUGACAGUUCCACUGUGAUGUCGACGACAGGAUCGAUGACUCGCCUCGUCCUUAAAGACAAUAUCACCGCCGGAGGAGGACUGGCCCCAGGCCAAACCCUCCGGCUGGGCGGCUUUACCAUGACCGCCCGUUCGGUCGUUAAGCCGACGAUGACCUCUCGGGCCAUCGAAAAUUCCCUUCGUAUCGACUCCAAACACUCCAAGCAGAUGGAUCCGUUGGAGUUUUCGUCUUUAAACGAGCUCCUUGAUCGCAUCGCCGCCCUGGGAAUCGCCACAGAUUACAAUCGGAUCGGGCUUAAACCCGAUCAAAGAGAAAUCAAAUCUCCACCCGUCACCCACCAGAUAUCGGUAGUCGAGGAGCAAGACGGCGACUCUUCCCCUAUACCAAAGACGGAAUAUGUUCGGAUCGCCGACCCUGAAGAGCCGGAUACCCACCAGCGAAAGGAUGUGACCGGCCUUCCGAACAUAGAAUCGGACGGCGGGCCUAAGCAAUCAGAAGAUACUCCGGAGCCCGGACUGUUAAGUCUGGAAAAUCUUUAGACUCCGGAUCAUCGAUCGGGUCAGGGUCCGGAUUCAAUUCCACCCACCCACCCAGACAUAAGCGCUCUUAUGAGCAUACAACAGUAGUCUCAGGAAACGGUCCACCACUUCUGGGCCAGAUUCCUCCUUGUCAAGGACAAGGUUAAAGAUUGCUGCGACGAGGACGCGAUAUCAGCGUUCUGCAAAAAUUGCACGGACGAAGGAAUCCUCAACGCCAUCAAUCGCCGCCGCAUACUACACUUCGCUGACUUGGCAACUAUCGUACAGAAGUACAGCGCAAUGGAAAGCUCCUGGAAAGCUCAGGCAGCUUGCUGGGAGCCGUCGUUCCCAACUCAACCUCUCGUCCAGGCGAAAAGGGCGCAUCCCCGUGGCAUGCCCAGUCCAAUAGCCAGGAAAUAUAAACCCAUUACGCGGCACAGAACCGUUCUAGAGGGAUGGCUCGAUGGCCCAUGCAAAAUACACACAACACCGGAUACCAUAUCAACCCACAGCCUUAGAGCAUGUUGGAUACUCCGGCAGGUAGCCAAGAGCGGCGAGGACAUCCUUACCAAAAAUGCCCCAGAGCAACACCCUCCAGAAGACAAUGACCCCAGAGUAUUGACGGUCUUCGAGACAUUCGCUUCAAACAAUAAGCACAAAAAGGGCACUCCGCGACCUCGCUGAAGUCUGUCAAAUCGCCGCGAUAAACCCUUGGAACGACACGGCUAUAACCUUUAAUGCCGGUGACGAACCAAAAUACAGGACAGUCUGAGCGCCAGCCGCAUUAGUCCUCAGUCCCAUCAUGGACAGCUUUCGACUCACCAAGGUCCUCAUGGACGGCGGCAGCGGACUAAACCUCAUCUAUGAGGAUACACUCCACAAAAUGGAAAUAGACAGGAGCCGCAUCGAGCAAAGCAGCACGACCUUCCGAGGAAUCAUUCCCAGUCGGGAGGCGCGAUGUGCGGGAAAAAUCACACUUGACGUGGUAUUCGGCACACCGGAGAAUUAUCGGUCCGAAGAAAUAACCUUCCAAGUGGCUCCUUUCAGCAGUGGAUAUCACACCCUGUUGGGGCGAGAUGCUUUUACACGCUUCCAAGCUAUACCUCAUUACGGGUACAUGAAGCUCAAAAUGCCCGGGCCCAACGGCAUAAUCACUCUUGUCAGUGAUCCGGACAUAGCACUCCGCGCCGAAAACAAAAACGCAUCCCUGGCCCUUGAGGCAUUAUCUGAAGCCCUCACGGCUGAAGAAUUAACCGCACUGUGCUCCACGGUGGAUAGGGACGAUGUGAUCUUAGACAAAUGACCCAAAUCCACCUCCUUCAAACCGGCAGAAGUAAUAGUCAAAUUCCAGGUCCACCCAACGGACCCCAAUAAGACAGCAUCUAUUGGAGCACAACUAGACCCAACGGCGACGCCGCGCUAUGGGAUUUCCUUUGCGAAAACUGGGAUAUAUUCGCCUGGCACCCUUCUGAUAUGCCUGGAAUCCCACGCAAGCUGGCCAAACAUAGCCUCAAUAUAUUAAAGGGAUACAAACCAGUCAAACAAGCACUGCGGCGCUUUUCCGAACCCAAACGCCAAGCUAUGGGGGAGGAGCUAGCCAAGCUAAUUGAGGCCGGAUUCAUUAGAGAAAUAAAACAUCCGGACUAGCUGGCAAAUCUGGUGAUGGUACCAAAGAAGGACAAAUCCUGGCGCCUGUGCGUCGAUUUUAAAGACCUCAAUAAGGCUUGCCCUAAGGAUCCCUUCCCCCUCCCCCGCAUUGAUCAAAUCAUUGAUGCUACCGCAGGACACGACUCACUGUGUUUCCUUGAUGCAUAUUCCAGAUACCAUCAAAUCAAAAUGAAGGAGUCUGAUCAAGCUGCAACAACAUUCAUUACCCCAUAUGGACCAUUCUGCUUCAACACCAUGCCCUUCGGGCUCAAGAACGCCGGCGCCACAUACCAACGCAUGAUUCAAACAUGCCUGGAGAAACAGAUUGGCAAGACAGUUGAAGCUUAUGUGGACGACGUCGUCAUCAAAACUAGGCACGUCAAAACACUAAUAGCCGAUUUACGUCUCACAUUCGACAACCUCCGCGCGUAUGACAUUAAGCUCAAUCCGGAAAAGUGUGUUUUCGGCGUCCCCGCUGGAAAACUGCUGGGCUUCAUCGUUUCCAGUAGAGUAAUUGAAGCAAAUCCAGCCAAAAUCCGAGCUCUGUCACAAUUGGCUAUGCCAAUAGACCUUAAUCAAGUCCAAAAACUCGCGGGUUGCGUGGCAGCUCUAAGCCGCUUUAUCUCUAGAUUGGGAGAAAAGGCACUGCCACUCUAUCGCCUUCUACGGCGAACCGAUCACUUCGAGUGGACGGACGCGGCAACAGUCGGACUGGAAGAAAUGAAAACCCUUCUAGCGAGCAACCCAAUCCUGGUCGCGCCAAACGUCGGCGAACCCAUGUUACUAUACAUAUCGGCAACACAUCAGGUGGUGAGCGUCGUGCUCGUCGUUGAACGAGAACAGGACAGACACAAAUUCCCGCUUCAGAAGCCAGUAUACUACGUAUCCACUAUCCUUACACCAUGCAAAUCCCGGUACCCCCAUUAUCAAAAGAUAGCAUACGCAGUCUUCAUGGCAUCCCGAAAGCUACGACACUACUUCCAGGAGUGUUCGAUCACAGUGGCUUCCGAAGUACCACUCAAUGACAUAAUAAACAACCGUGAUGCCAUGGGCCGGAUUGCCAAAUGGGCCAUUGAGCUCCUUCCAUUUGAUAUUACAUACAAACCACGUCGAGCUAUUAAAUCCCAAGUACUGGCUGACUAAUGGAGAGAGGCCGAACUCCCUAAAGGGUACGGCACAUAUUCCAAUUGGGUUAUGUAUUUCGAUGGCUCCAAAAUGCUGGCAGGGCUAGGAGCGGGCGUCGUUUUAAUGUCUCCUACUGGAGACGUCGUUCAGUACGUACUCCAAAUAUUAUACAAAGACUCCAACAACGCAGCCGAAUACGAGGCCUUAUUGCAUGGUCUCGGAUGGCUGUCUCCAUGGGCAUACAACGCCUAGAGGUGCGCGGGGACUCAAACCUUGCAAUAUCUCAAAUAAAUGGAGAUUUCGAUGCCAAAGAUUCAAAGAUGGCAGCUUAUCGUAAUGCGGUCCUAAAAAUGUUGGCUCGGUUCGAGGGGCUCGAGUUCCAUCACGUGGCCCGAGAAAGUAAUCAAGCGGCGGACGUUCUCGCUCGUAUUGGCGCCAAGCGCGACCCCGUCCCACCUAAUAUCUUUCUGGAAAGGCUUUUUAAGCCAUCUGUGGUGUGGCAGGGGGAAAGCGGCAACACUAGUCCGGAUCCGAACACAACCCCAGAUUCCGAACACACAGAUAUCAUCGGCGGUCAGCCACCGAAAUAACACCGUCGGCCCAUCUCAUUAUGGCAGUCAUUGCCCCAUGGACCGAACCCUUCCUGGCCUACCUUAAUAGGAAAGAACUUCCUGAGGAUCAGAAUGAGUCCCACCGCACUGUCCGGCGUUCGAAGGCCUACAAGGUUCACGACGGAGAGCUCUAUAAGAAAAGCGCUACCAGAGUCCUUCAAAGGUGUAUCUCCGAGGAGGAGGGGCGGAAGCUCCUGGCUGAGAUUCAUGCCGGUCUCGGCGGGCACCACGCCGCAGCUUGGGCCCUUGUUAGCAAGGCCUUCCGUACAUGAUUUUAUUGGCUGAUGGCCCGAGCAGAUGCACAGGACCUUGUCCAACGUUGCGUCGGACGCCAACUCCUCGCCAACCAAAGCCAUAUGCCCCCCACUGCCCUACAAACAAUCCCCAUCACUUGGCCUUUUGCGGUCUGGGGACUAGACAUGGUAGGACCCCUUAAAGGAGGAAGCAAUAAGAAAAAAUAUCUGCUGGUCAUGGUGGACAAAUUCACCAAGUGGAUAGAGGCCAAACCAGUUAAGACGGCCAAAGCCGGACCAGUAAUAGACUUUAUAUCUGGCGUCGUACACCGUUAUGGUGUUCCACACAGCAUCAUCACUGAUAACGGCUCCAACUUCACAGCCGACAAAGUGAAAUCCUGGUGCGCUAAUCUGGGCAUCAAGCUCGAUUACGCCUUUGUCUAUCAUCCACAGACAAACGGUCAAGUCGAAAGAGCCAAUGGUCUUAUUAUGAGCGGCAUUAAGCCUAGACUAGUGCGGUCUUUGAAAGAAUCAGACAAGCACUGGGUUGAGGAGCUCGACUCCGUACUCUGGGGGCUGCGAACCACGCCCAAUCGCACUACCGGAUACACACCUUUCUUCAUGGUGUACGGCGCAGAGGCAGUGCUACCCUGCGACAUUAUUCAUGACUCACCUCGAGUGCGCAUGUACGAAGAGAGAGAGGCCGAGCUCGAUCGACAGGACAGCUUAGAUGCCCUGGAGGAGGAGCGCGAUGUCGCAGAAGCCCGUUCUGCAUUUUAUCAACAACAAGCUCACAGGUAUCAAAGCAGAGAAGUGCGGGCCAAAACUUAUAACGUCGGCGAACUCGUUCUACGCCUGCCGGAGAAUAAAAAGGACAAACUCAAGCCCAAGUGGGAGGGUCCCUUCAUCAUCGACGAAGUUCUCACCGGAGGGGCGUACCGCUUGCGUGAUGCGUCAGACAAUCGACUAGAGCCGAACCCCUGGAAUGCGGCCAGACUCCGAAGAUUCUAUGCCUAGCGCCGAACUCUUUGUUUGUCUCCUUCCCCCUAUUGUUUCUAUCAUUUUUUUCUCUCUUUUCGUUUUUUCUCUUUAGCCUUAAAAGCUUUCGUGCGGUUAGACCGUGCACCCCAGACGCAUACAUCUUCAAGUAUGUACGUCUAUUAUACCUGGGGGCUUCUUGGACAGAAGCUUGCUAUUAUUAUUUUCCGAGCAUCAAGCUCAUCACAUAUGCGUUUUCUCCCAUAUGUACCUUUUCUUCGCCAUUAUAUGCAUCGAUAUGACUUAAGUUUUGGCCAAGCUGGGUUGCCUGGCUCCUGUGCUUAUGCCCUACGUUCCCGUUAUUUCGGCUAGGGCAUAAAGGGAGCACCUCUGCGAUUGUUACUGCCGGGUCAACCGGAUGUGUACCUCAGACUGGGUGAAGCCGAAAGCUAGCGUUCUUAAGGGAAUAUUCGGUCGGUGAACUAAAGGUGCUUUUGCAUUCGUUCCAUCGUGAACCCCCAGAAGCUAUACACAUUGUGAUUUCUUCAUCAUAGUCCGGACAUGCACAUCGAUGCAUGCACACCCAGGGAAAGGAAUCCUUAACGGAACUAUUCUCUCUGGAAGAUGUUUCUUACAAUUUUAACGUAAUAUAAAAAAAUUAGCCGGAUACAACUCGUCUAUUUAAGCAACUAUGACCCCUACGCCUGGUUUUCACGCAUACCCUGGUUUAUUUCGCCGCUCAGGUAUUCGGAAAACACUCCGCACCUUCGGGUCGAGAGGUCAAAGCGAAAAGGUCGGCCAUGACAAUCAUUUUACAAUCCAGCCAGAAGGAAAGUACAUAGUCACUUAGGACUCAAAAACUUCCUCCUCUAUACCGUCCAACAGGAGGUCUAACUUACAAUCCUGUUGGGAAUAUCUAGCGGCCACCUCUACUUGGUCAUAUACUAAACUAACGGGAAUUUCUUCCCCAUUUGACCCUAGCGGUCCGACCGGGCCAUGUGAUUUGGAUCCAGCUUGGUAUACCGCGCUUUCACCAUGGCCCAGGCCUCUCACGCACCCUCCCGGCAGGCCGAUAUCUUCCAUAGUCGGAUACGCCGCCGCGCUCCCUUGAACAGCUCUACAAGCUCCUCCAUACUCCCUGGAGGGGAGGCGGAUGGCCAUAAGGCCUUGGCUACACUCCGCAUUGCCUGCCGAGCUUGCUCAUGCAAUUGCGACAGCCCUUGCAGAAGAUCACUUGAUGAUCCGGACACCUCCUCUUCGGGAUGGCCCGUCAACAUACCUGCAAUCAUAGCUAUAUCAGCUACUUUUACCUCCAAACUGUUAUAAGGUAAAUUCGGCCACGUACUGAAUAUGCCGCCUCACAGCUUUUUAUUCUCCUUUACGGAGUCGGCUAGCUGGGCCCGCACACCUUUCAGUUCUUCGCCCAGUUCGGUGUUUGAAUCCUGGAGUUUGUUUUUCUCCUCUCUGACUCGGGCCAGAACACGCUCGCCUGCGGCAUAUAGUCUUUUUGCCUCUUUCUCUCCCGCUUGAGCGGUUUUCAACUUCUCUUCCAGUUGAUCUGAUGAUCCUAUUAUGAGAUAAGCAACAGUAUUAGCACAGCUGGUAUAUAAUUGUUAUUCCUCGAUGGAGGGGAACAUUACCAGAGGAUGCCUUCUUGGACUUUUUCAGUUCGGCGGUAGCAGCAUUUAGCUGUGUCCGACACUGCUCCAGCUCUUGAGCUAGUAGGUAGUUCUUCUCCGUAAGAACCUGGUCAUACAACGUUCCUUAAAUCACUUGUGCCAACUGCUUUCAGUCUCGGGGGCUACUAGCAUAUGGUUAUCCUAUUCGAACAAAAGAAACCUUACCUGCACAUCUGUUAAAUGCUGCUUUGUGGCUCUGCCCAGCCCAUCUCGAGCAGCUCGGAUGUAUGCGUCAGCCGAGCUGAAGGCAUCAAACGCAUCUUUUGAGAAGCCAAGGUCCCGUAAAACGGCCCUCCGGCGCCGAUGAUUCGUGGCGCUCUCCACUUCCGUUUUGGUGACGGACAUAUCUUCUGAGCCCUCGGCCGAAGGACAGUCCGGUGUCAUUCCCGUAUCGGCCCCCGUCUCUCCAGGGGUCUGCACCCCGAUUGUUGGGAGUACGACUGGCCGAAUUCCCGGACAUAGUUCGGCGAACCUUUUUCCUGAUACAGGACAAACAUAACAGUCACAGAUGGAUGUGACUACUAAAGCAUACUUUCAAAUCCAUACCUCUUCGACGAAGGCCCAGCCGUGUCUUCACCGGUCUUCCUUUUAGAGGCCUUGCUCGGCGCAGGAGCCGCUCUCUUUGGAGUCGCCCCCGGGGUAGCAUGACGUGCCGAACGCCUCCCCUUUGGAGCAUGAGACAGUGCGGUGGGUGAGGCAGUGCGAGGAAACUCUUUGGGGGGGGGUUUCUCCUAAUGACUUACGUGGGAAGCAGGAAGAAGACCAGGAUAAUCGGCGACAAGGGCCACUUCCGUGCCAUCGUAGCUCGCCUGGUAAAACACCCCUUCUGCAAGUACCACGAAUAUAUCCGGGUCCCCUUCAAACCCAGGAUCAAGCUCCCGGUUGUGGUUCUCUGGUUGUGGGGCGGGGCUGUGAAGCCCCUCGGUGAUCUUUCGCCGGUGCUGUUAUAAAUAGACGGAUUAAGAAUUCAUUAAAGAUGACUUGGGAAGCGGAAUGAGUAAAAGCAGAGGGGUCAGGACUUACCCAGCUGGGAGGGUCAUACAUAGAGUACCCAUCUCUGCGCUUGAUGCGAAGGAAUUCCUCCUCCUCCCCUUUAAACAGCCCGGCCAGUAUCUUGGCCAGAGCGGCGAGGGUGUCCGGACCUUUCCGACCACAGCGGGAGGCGUCGUCCUCCCCAUUAGUGCCACAUUGGAAGCCCUCUGUAUUGAAGUGGCUGAACCCCUCGCACUAUUGAGGUCGCCAUUACCUCAACCAUUGUUAAUCCGGACUGGGCGAGUGUCUUUAUCUUGCUCAUGAGCUGACCAACUUCCGCACUGUCAUCCUCUUCAAGACUCCGGGGACGCCAACUGUGGCGUUUCUUUAGCGGAACGCUUGCAAAUUUGGGAAGACCCUUCCGAACUUGGUCGGGAAGUGUGACGUCCUCAAUGUAGAACCAUUCGGAAGGUCAUUCUUCAGAUGCCUUCCUUGGUGUGCCGGACAGGUAUCCGGUAUCGGCGAUGCGCCAUAUUUUGGCUCUGCCCACUUCAAAUAUUGACCCCUCGUGGUUGCGUGGGACAAGACAUAACAACUUUCUCCACAGUUCAAAAUGGGCCUCAAUACCCAGAAAUAGUUCGCAUAAAGCAACAUAACCCGCAAUGUGCAGGAUAGAGGUGGGAGUAAAGUUGUGCAGUUGGAGGCCAUAGUAUUCCAGAAGCCCUCGGAGGAACAGAUGAAUUGGAAAUCCGACGCCUCUUAGCAGAUAAGGGAUGAAACACACUCGCUCCCCCCCGGAUGGAUUGGGGAAGUCCUCCGCCUGGGUCUCGCCAUUAAAGGAGGCCAACCCUGCUCGAACAGGGACCAGAUCUGCAGGGGGAAGAAAUCCCUGCGUUUGCAACUUCGUCAAUUGACUGUGGGACACAAAGCACCUCUCCCACUCGCCUUUCUCUGGGUCAGAACGGGAGGAGGAGCUGGGAAUGCUAGCCAUGUUGGAAUGGUCUUUCCUAGCAAUCUCUGAGGAUUUUCUCCGCGUGGUGCCGAAUGGAUCUGAGAUCCAAUCUCUUUAAAUAGACGCUCUUUCUUGCAUGGCCGGGGUGUUACUUGCAAAAAAUACCCUGACCUUCCACAUUCGUUCGACACGUGGAAGCUGAAAUCAUCGAUGCACAGAAGCCGAGGGGUGCGGCACUGAAUUAAAAGCCGAAUACAUUACUUGGAAGUCAUCGGAUGAGGAACCCGCCUUGCAAUGCCGAAGACAAUCUGCACGCCGAACACCUCGUCAUUGAAGCCUGGUUCGGGGGCUACUGAGGGAGUCCUGGACUAAGGGGUCCUCGGGCGUCCGGCGUGUUAGCCAUGGGCCGGACUGAUGGGCUGUGAAGAUACGAAGACCGAAGACUGCACCCGUGUCCGGAUGGGACUCUCCUUGGCGUGGAAGGCAAGCUUGGCGAUCAAAUGUGUAGAUUCCUUUCUUUGUAACCGACCAGGUGUAAACCCUAGAUCCUUCCGGUAUCUAUAUAAACCGGAGUACUUAGUCCGGAGGGGGGAGAUUCAUUACCGUAGUCAUACAAGUUAGACCUCUAGGGUUUAGCCAUUACGAUCUCGUGGUAGAUCAACUCUUGUAACACUCAUAUUCAUCAAGAUCAAUCAAGCAGGAAGUAGGGUAUUACCUUCAUAGAGAGGGUCCGAACCUGGGUAAACAUCGUGUCCCCUGUCUCCUGUUACCAUCGACCUUAGACGCACAGUUCGGGACCCCCUACCCGAGAUCCGCCGGUUUUGACACCGACAUCCAUCACAUCAUUCUCUAAUGAUGUGAUCUCGUUCAUCAAAUGACAACACAUGUCUAUGGCUAGGAAACUUAACCAUCUUUGAUUAAUGAGUUAGUCAAGUAGAGGCAUACUAGGGACAUUCUGUUUGUCUAUGUAUUCACACGUGUACUAAGUUUCCGGUUAAUACAAUUCUAGCAUGAAUAAUAAACAUUUGUCAUGAAAUAAGGAAAUAAAUAAUAACUUUAUUAUUUCCUCUAGGGCAUAUUUCCUUCAGUCUCCCACUUGCACUAGAGUCAAUAAUCUAGUUCGCAUCGCUAUGUGAUUUAACACCAAUAGUUCACAUCACCAUGUGAUUAACACCCAUAGUUCACAUCGUCAUGUGAUUUAACACCAAUAGUUCACAUCACCAUGUGAUUAACACCCAUAGUUCACAUCGCCAUGUGACAAACACUCAAAGUGUUUACUAGAGUCAGUAAUCUAGUUCACAUCACCAUGUGAUUAACAUCCAAAGAGUACUAAGGUGUGAUCAUGUUUUGCUUGUGAGAGAAGUUUAGUCAACGGGUCUGCCAAAUUCAGAUCCGUGUGUAUUUUGCAAAUUUCUAUGUCUACAAUGCUCUCCACGGAGCUACUUUAGCUAAUUGCUCCCACUUUCAAUAUGUAUCCGGAUUGUGACUUAGAGUCAUCCAAAGAGUUUGCAAUCCCAUCUCGCUGAGAUCGAGAUCCCUAUCGGUGAGACCGAACUGAUUAGGGUUUCUGGCUAUGGCUAUGUCAAAUGAACUCGGCGGCGUCAGAUAGAUCAAAUCGGUGGGGCCGAGUUUGACUUUAGGUUUAGAACAUAUGUGGGAAUGAGAAAGUGGUUGAUGGCCUUUGGAGCAUAUCACUAAGCAUUUUGAGCAAGCAAGCCAUUAAGCAACACAUCAUCCCCUUUUAAUAGUAUUGGCUUUUUCUAUGGACUCAAUGUGAUCUUGGAUCACUAAAAUGAAAAAGUAGAGUCUUGAGCUUUUGCCGAUAUGUGUCCUUAGCAUUUUGAGGGGUCCACAUCUCUAGUCCAUACCAUGCCAAUCAUUGAACUUUCUGAAAUGAUCAUCUUGAAAAAGUAUUAGUUCAAUGAGCUAUAUGUUGUUAAGAAUUACCUAAAAUACCCAGGGAUUAGUUUCACUUUCAAGUUGACGGCGCUGGAAUCUAGCGGACACGGGGAAGAACCCCGGCCGACGUGCCACAAAGUCUCGGUCUCGUCACUUGCGGCGCUCCGGUUCAUCGGCUCGAAAAGCAUCCUUGUAUGUAAAAGUGCUCCUACAGAUUUGGGUAUGACGGCAACUCCCCUCUUUCUUCAGUGUUGCCUCGGUGACCGCGGAAGUCCAAGGCGGACAAUAUUUCAGCAUGGAACAAGAUUCUGCCAAAAUGAAAUUCUAGUUUUACUUUUUGUGGAGUCUUUGAUGCAAGACUACAAGACAUUUAUGCAUGUCUCUUGCGGUGACAUUGUGUUUACUCUUUGCAAUCCGUUUUUCUAGUGAAAUACAUGUGAUUACUUCAAUAAAAUGAUGUUUAGAGGUGUGCAAUUCUAAUGAGAUGCAUUUCUGGUCUGUAGCUUAUGUACGAACUGAUUUGGGGGCGACGAUUGCAGAAUGCCCGUCCAUUCGAAACACGGCUCAGCAUAAUUUCAAUAGUACACGGAGAGACGCAACGGCACGGCACGGCACCACCGUCCGUUGCUCGCUCGCACGCAGGGAUACGCAACUGCACAACCCAUCACGGUCCGGCCCUACACUCCUAGGGAAGAUUUUGCGCCCCAGAAUGAUCUUCCCUUGCCGAUGAUAACCAACCGCUCCGUUGCUUCGCGCCACAUACAACCGCCGCUCUCCCGCCGUCCGCACGCUACUCGGUUUCACUUUCACCCCGCAAAGCCAGGCUGGAGAGUGCUGGCCGCCCCAUGGUAAUGGCUGCCCACGGACCGAGUCACCGGACCAGCCAGCCGCGGGUUACGCCGUGGGCCGUCGCGCUCGCCGUGCCCACCACCCCCGGUUUGUGUCGCCUAGCCCGGAGCUCAUACCGUCCGUCCGUCGCCCCCGACCCUUCUUUCCUACCCGGGCCCGCCCCCCACUGCGACGGCAACCACCGCGGUGGACCCGCCGGCCCGCUCGCGCCCAGUCGAGGCCCUACACGUCGGCGUUCAUCACGUGCCUCAUCGCCCCUUCUCGCCGGAUAUAUAUUCGCGCGCCAGCCGUGCCCGCAGUGUCAGUCAGUGAGUGACGCGACGCACUUGCCCGUACACUGCCAAUCCGCCUGAGAUAUUUUUCUCUCUCUUUGGGGUGAGGGCGUGAGGGAGAGGGAGGCUGAGAGAGAAUGCUGCUGCGGAGCGCGUCCUCGCCGCUGCUCAACGCGGCGCGUGUGCCGACGGCCGCGGCGGUGGAGCAUGUAGUGGGCCACGGCCACCUCGCGCUCGCGGUGGCAUCGCCGGCGGGGCAUCACGGGCCGAGGCAGCAGGGGGCGCUCUGCCGCGCAUUGUCCGAGGCCGAUCUGCUGGCGCCGGUGCAGCUCCCGGCCGCCUCCGCCUUCCUCGAGGAGUUGGACGAGGAGGAGGACGAGGACGUGGUCGCGGUCGGGGUGGCGGCCGUGCCGCUGCGCCGGCUGCUGACCAGCACGGGGCUGGACGCAGCGGGGGAGGAACAGGAGGACGGCGCCGGCGGAGCCCUGGCGCUCCUCGAGGGCGUCGGGGGAGGCGGCGGGCGCGGGAGGGUGUGCGGCGGCUGGCAGGGCGGCCGCGGAGGGGACGGCGACGGCGACGGCCAUGACCGCGGCGCCACCGACGCGCGCUACCGGCGGAUGAUCAGGGCCAACCCGGGCAACUCGCUGCCGCUGGGGAACUACGCCAGGUUUCUCAAGGAGGUGCAGGGGGACGCGGCGAGGGCGCAGGAGUACUGCGAGCGCGCCAUCGUCGCCAACCCCGGCGACGGCGACGCCCUGGCGAUGUACGCGGGCCUCGUCUGGGAGACCAGCCGCGACGCCGAGCGCGCCGACGCUUACUACAGCCGCGCCGUCCAGGCCGCGCCCGACGACAGGUCAGUCUGCCAGCUCCACCGCGCCACUUCGUUUCUUGCUUGCUUGACAUGCGUUUGCGUGACAGUUUCUUGCUUCCCUUGCAGCUAUGUCCUGGGAUCCUACGCCGGGUUCCUGUGGGACGCCGAGGAGGAAGACGAUCUCGACGACGGACAGACUACGGCAGCGACGCCGCCGUUCUUUGGGGCAGCUCAGCCACCCUCCAUCAGAGCGGCAUCUUAGACGAAGAACCAACCUCGCUACCAGUAAACAAACUGCAUCUGGAACUCUGGAAAGUAUGAGCGACAUCCUGGCCUCCGAGGGAAGCCGCCGCCGUCACCGGCCCGGUCGCGGCAGACCGUAGUAGACUGAAUAAACCAAGUCCGGCUACCUGUGUGAAAAAUGAAUCUGGAAAGAGCACUACAACUCUAAGCUUUGCAGGAUCUGCAGCACUGUAGGAUAAAUAUCUAGCCGAGCCUAACAAGGUUUUGCUGUGCUUGUACAUGUAGAAUGUUCCUGCGGUCCUGCUAAAAAUCAGUCGACUGAGAUUUAACCAAGUCUCAGUCGACCAUGCAACAUUUUAUGCCAUCGUUUGCAACAUUUAUUCCUACCGGUUGUAACAUCUGUCUUGAAUAGUUGUAGCAUGUCAUCCCUCAUCGGUUGUAGCACAUCUUCUCAACGGUUGCAACAUCUUCAUUGACGGUUGUAGCAUUUCAGUUAAAACGGAUGUAGCAUUUAUUGUUGUUGCUUGUAAUGCCGUCGCAACAUUUUUCGCCGCCGUUUGUAGCAUCUAGCCAUGCCGUUUGUAGCAAAACAACCACGCUGACGUCAUUCGACUGAGACUUCGUUAAGUCUCAGUCGACUGAGUUCUAGACACACCCAUGUUCCUGAUAACAUGGUGUAUGUAGUGUAUGUACCACUUGUGAAUUAUAGCAAACGCCAGAGCUAUCUGCCCCAGCAGUUCAGCAAAAGUAGAUCCAUCUUCCAUGCAGGAACAGAAUACAAAAUUACACUGAAUGUCCAAGUUCAUCACAGAUUGCCGCAAAUUUUGCGGUAAAGAAGACAAGCGAAAACGCAUGCGGGGAAAAGUCUUGCGACCUGGAAAUACAAGGUAGUCAUAUGCAAAUGUUACUAACUACAAAUAACACCACUCCCUUGUACUGUUUGAAAAACAACACAAACUGAGAAGAUAAACAGUACGUUGGCUGCUUGCCAUGCUUCAAACUCCAGGUGAUUACACUAAUUCAAGCACAUGAUACCAGCCACAAGUUUACUACCCAAAUAACAAAAAUGCAGACAUGGGACGCUGAGGCAUGACUCUCAGCUUUCCGAAAGACUGGACUCGACCGUUUUCUAUGCAUUGAGCACAUGGUCGUCUGGAGUGACUUGAGCACGGAUUGGCGUCCGGAUGGGAUCUGCAGUUGACUUGCUAAUUUCUAGCUGUUCUGCAGAAGAUAUAGAAGUUGCAAUGUCAACAGAACCUGUCUGCUCUGACGGCAAUUUGGGGAGAGAUUUCCGUUGGGACUUCUUCGGAGCAGGUGCUGCCUUGGGGCUGUUUUGGGA
rnacentral:lncRNA from 1 species